rnacentral:lncRNA from 1 species
UUAAAUCAUCCAGAUACAACAGCCCAGUUAACUAACUGUAAAACAAAAGAAUUCCCAUCAUAACACUUCUUCAGGUAAACAAGUGGGUACACAACAGCAAUCAAGAGUACAUGCAGAACAUGUAGAAGAAACUCAAAACAAACUGCAAUCACAAUCAUCUCAUCUUCCUUCCUACUCUACCAGCAACACCUUUUCUUUCUUUACACAUGCUUCUCUCUCCUCCCUUCCUUUUCUCUCUUUCCCUCUCCUCUUAUGUUACAAAGGCCCACAGCACUGAUUUCUUCUCAGCUCAGCUCAGCUCCUGAACCCGAAGUUGGUCCACCGCCUGCCCCCGGCACCGUCCUUCUUGGCGCCCCGCGCAGCACCACCGGACCCAAACAGGUUCUCUAGCGACUUCUGCUUCCGGUUCCGGGACCGCCCAGCCUCCUUCAGCAGCUCCGCCAGCCGCUUCUUCUCGUCCUCCACGUCCGGGUUCGCCGUGCCCAGCUUCUCCUCCCGCACCUUCAGCACGUGCUCCAGGAUCUCGAUCGCGUCUUCCACCCUGAUGGAUCAUCAUAAACCAAGUGUCAGGUCAUGGAAAAGAUACAAGUGACGGAUAUGGAUCAUCUAACAGGAAGGACAGGGAACAUGGAUUAAAAUCAUUUUGUAUACAUAACUCACUAGCAUGAAGCGACAUGUGGGCAACUAGAUGAUGGACCACUAAAAUAAAAGAUGCCCUCAGAUGGCAGGAAUGACCAACCGAUAAUUCAGCAAGCAAUCUCUUGGCUGUGUGCAAUUUAAAUUAGGUAGCCCACCCCCACCCACCGGCCCGUUCAACAUUUAACAAAGCAUCAUAACUUACAAGACACAAGUGGAACCCCACAUGUUCAUCUCUUCAGAGAGCAGAACAAAAUCAGCUCCAUUACUCCUACAGCUGUAAACAACGAGUGCUAGAUGCUGCUACAAGCAUAUGUGUAAGCCUGGAGACCCCAAAUGUAUUUUGCACACCGUUAAUUCAACAGAGGCGGUCGUGCUGAUGCCAAGAUCACAGGGGAAAUGCAACUGUGUAUUAAAGUGACAAAGCUGGGUCAUAUAGGACUGACGGAAUAACAAAACCACAAAUGUAGAUGUUUACUUAGGCCUAAAUUCAACAGUCCCAAUAACAGGUCCACUGCAUAUGUUAGUUUGGAAAUCAUGGGUCACUUGCCAUUAAUUUAGACCAAUUUGGGUAACUCAUUAGCUUGCAGCAACAUGUGGGUGUCUAGAUGGUGGACCACUAAGACAGAAUGAUGCCCUCACAUGGAAGUGAAGAUCAACGCAUGAUUCGUCAAGCAAUAUAUCGGUUGUUUGCAAUUAAAUUAAGCAACCUGGCAUAGAAUAAUUAAAUCUAGCCACCCACCAUAUUAAAGAUGUUAGAAACCAUUAGAACUUCAAAGUACAACCUACUGCUCAUGCCUUCAGAUAUAGCACAAUAAAACCAUGGGGCAUGGGCGUUAAUCUACAGAUGUAAACAAUGAGAAGAAGAUACCCUUACAGGCAUAUGGUAACCAUUUAGAGAUCAUACAUGCAUUAUACUACAAGAUAUGAUUAGGUUCCGAAUAAAAUGGCUGGGGGUUGCAGAAGAAUCCAGUUUGUGUUCUCAAGACAUACCUUCCCAUGGCAUCAUAGAUCGCAGCAAGGUUGCUGUACACGCCAAGAGUAUCAGGAUGAGAGGCACCACACUCCUGCUCUAGAACUGCCCGUGCUUCUUCAAACAGCUGUGCAGCCUCAUCAAUCUUGAACAGCUGUACGCAAGCUAGCCCCAUCUGGUUCAGCAGAACACCGAAAAAGGCUGACUUCCUUUCCCCGCUGGCCCUCAAUUUGGAAACCGCGCUCUCGAACGAGUUCCUUGAAUCAGCAUACCUCCCUAUCAUGUAGUACAACACACCCAUUUGUGCUUCGAUCCCAGCAACAGUGCUCCACUGCCCUGGUGAGUCCUCAAGCAACUUCAGUGCCCUCUGAAGAAGCUUUAAGGCCUCAUCAAGAUCUCCAAGCGCCUCAUAGAUGGCAGCAAUCUCCAUUAGGCCUCCAGCAACCUCGUCAGGGGCAGCACCAGGCGCGGGCUUCGCAUAGACACGGAGAGCAUUCUCGCAGUAGGAUUUGGACUCACGGAGCUUCCCUGUGCGGUGAUAGAGAUCAGCAAGGCGGACGAAGACAGAUGCCACUGAAGGGUGGUCGUCACCACGGGCAGACUUGAGGACAGUCAAGGCCUUCUGGUAGGAGAAGACAGACUCGUCGAAACGAGCAAGGGCCAGGUAGGUGUUGCCUAUCGCGACAUCGAUCGUGGCAACCUCGACAUCGCGUCCAUUGGCAACCAUGGUCAUGGAGGCCAGCACAAGGUGCUCCAGGGCGCCGUCAUAGUCACCCUUGGCAUCCAGGAUAAGGGCCAUCAGACGGCGAUCGGAGGCUUCCUCGAGGGAUGCGGGGGCGCUGUGCUCCCGGUGGAUCUCAAGGGCUUUGCGGCACAGCUUCUCUGCCUCAUCGAACUGCAGAGCUUGCACAUGCGCUUCCGCCAGAUACCUGUCAUCGUACAAGAGCAACGCAUUUGUUAUUUUGGUCUUUGUCUGUGAUUUUCGUAGGUGUUUGCUGUGAUCUUAAUGCCAAUUUUUGCAGAGAUCCGCGGCAACAUAAAACUAAAACUAAAGGCAGUGAAAAAAGGUGAGAUUUUUCUUUUGACGAGUAAAACUGGAGGAGGUGGAAGCAACGGAGAGGGAGAUCUAGAUCGAGAAACGGCGGCUGACCUGCAGGUCUCGGCGACGCGGGGGUCGCGGUCGCCGAGCGCGGCCAUCUGGAUCUCGAAGCCCUUGCCGUAGCAGGCGAUGGACUCGUCCAUGCGGCCGAGCAUGGCGUGGGUGUCGCCGAGCUGCAUCCAGCCGGAGAAGGCGGCGAGCGCCCACUCCUCCCCCUUGCGCUCAUCCACCACCUGCUCCUCCUCCGGCUGCGGCACCUCCUCGCCCUCGGCCGCGGGGGCCGGCGGGGUGACGACGGCGACGGCGCGCUCGAGCACGGGGACGGCGUCGGCGUGCCGGCCGAGGCCGCAGUGGAUCGCGGCGGCGACGUGGAGGCUCAUGGCGAGCUCGAGCUCGGCGCCCUCGCCGCGGCGCUCGAGCGCGCGGGCCGCGCGCUCGGCGAACUCGAGCGCGCGCGCCGCGCCGCCGCCCUCGCCGGACACCAUGGCGUCCCGCGCCUGCUUGAGCAGGAAGGGCCCCAGAUCCGGGUUGUCCAGCGCCGCCUCGUCCGUCGCCUCCGGGUGCUGGCCCUGCCCGAGCGACUUCCGCGCCGGCUUGCCGACCGCGCGNNNNNNNNNNNNNNNNNNNNNNNNNNNNNNNNNNNNNNNNNNNNNNNNNNNNNNNNNNNNNNNNNNNNNNNNNNNNNNNNNNNNNNNNNNNNNNNNNNNNNNNNNNNNNNNNNNNNNNNNNNNNNNNNNNNNNNNNNNNNNNNNNNNNNNNNNNNNNNNNNNNNNNNNNNNNNNNNNNNNNNNNNNNNNNNNNNNNNNNNNNNNNNNNNNNNNNNNNNNNNNNNNNNNNNNNNNNNNNNNNNNNNNNNNNNNNNNNNNNNNNNNNNNNNNNNNNNNNNNNNNNNNNNNNNNNNNNNNNNNNNNNNNNNNNNNNNNNNNNNNNNNNNNNNNNNNNNNNNNNNNNNNNNNNNNNNNNNNNNGGACGAGGGGGACGGCGACGGCGGCGCCCGCCUCGGCAGCGGCGAGGAGAGCCGCCGCGGCGCCGGCGCCGCGGCCGGCGGCGACGCGUCCGCUGCGGCGAGCCCCGGCAUGGUCGCGUGGGGAGGGAGGGUGGGUGGGUGGGCGGAGGGUCGGGGAGGGUGGGUGGACUAGAAGAGGAGGCGAGCUGCCAUUUGCGGGGUGGGAUCUGCGCUAGCUGUGCUGGUUCUUGCUUGACAGGGAAGACUUGAAGAGGCCGCACUGCGGUGGCGCCGUGAUGGCAACGGGAUGCUUGCCUGGCGUCAUGAUGGCUCCUCCCCGCCGUCCAAUCCAUGAUCAAGCGACGAUCGACGGCUGCGAUCGAUCGAAACUCUAACUCUGACAUAUGAUGAUCUGGAAAUUCUCAUCUGGCAAAGAUGUUUUUGUUUCGGCUUUGCUGCGUCGAAGGCGAACGGAAAUUUGCGAAAUUGUGGUUGAUUCUCUCGGCUAUCGAUUCUCUUGUUGUGGAAUCGCCUUAUUUGAUUGAUGGCGCUGCUGGGAGAACCAAAGAAGAAAUCUCUGAUAAAUGAAGAUCGGAAAAAACAGGUCGACGUUUCUUAAUAUCUUGAAAAGAACAGACUUUUAGAUGAUUACUUUUUGGUGUUGGCAUUUUUCAUCUUCUAAUAAACGAAAUACUACUGAAUGCUCUUUUUUGGAAUGUUAGGGGCAUAGCUGCCCCUGGUGGAAACCUUUAAUUGUUGUUGCAAUGUUAAGUUUCAGAGUAAUAUUAAGGAUUUUAGAAUUAUUACAAUUUAUGUCUCACCUUUCAAGGGAGGAAAAAGAAGCCUUUAUAUCUGAGUUGUAUAGCAUGUUGAUAGACGUUUCCACUCCCACCCUUAUAGGUGGAGAUUUAAACCUCAUUAGGUGUUCUAGAGAUAAGAGUAAUUGUGUCAUUAACCACAAAUGGGGUGACAAUUUCAAUGGCUGGAUUGAAAUUUUGAGGUUAUUAUAGGUUAAACUUUUCGGUAGGGAUUUACUUAGACCAAUAAUCAGGCUGACUUAAUUAUGUCAACCAUAUAUAGAGUCUUCUAUGACACAUAAUUAGGUAAGAUUUAUCCUUGUUGCUUUUGAGCCUUACCUAGAUGUGGUAGUGAUCAUACCCCCUUUGAUUUGGGACUCUAGGAUUGAUCUCUCCCCUGCACCCAGUAGCUACAUGCUUGAAAAAGUGGUGACUACUGAGAGAAGAUUUUAAAGGCUUGGUGACCAAAAUUUGGAACCAAUUUCUUCCAAAACACCUAUUGACAUAUGGCAAGAGAAAAUUAGAAAGCUUAGAAUCACCAAAGGUCCUAUAAGAGGACUAUGAUAAGUUAGAUAUUAAAGUUGAGUCCUCAGACUUAUCAGAAGUUGAAUUUGCUAGGCUUAAAUUCAUUCACUCGGAGUUGCAAAAAUGGUGGCUCCAAGAAGAAAGAAAAGCCAAACAAGGGUCUAGUGAUAAGGAUAUUCACGUAGUAGCCUCUAUUCAUUCUUUAGAUGGUCCUGCUAGCCCAGUGAUUGAGAUUAAAGGUAUGCUGGGGGUAGCUAGUGGCUACUAUAAAGACCUCUCUGAACUAGAAGAAAGAUAAGGCUUUAAUUCAAAUGUUAAAUUUUUCUCUGCUGGAGAAAAGGUGCAGGUCACUAAAAAUGAGCUUUCAGAGGCACCCUUUUUAAGCUGAAGUUUAAUUAAAGAGCUAUUAUUUCUCUUACUGUGAUAGUGCUCCUCGCCCAGAUGGGAUUCCUUUCUUUCUUUUAUCAUCACUUUUGGGACUUCAACAAAAGUGAUUUAAUGGCUAUGUUUGAUGAUCUCCAUAAUGGAGAAUUAGACAUUUAUAGGCUUAAUUUUGCUAUUCUUACUCUUAUUCCUCACAAGGAAGCUGAAGCCACAUCUAUGAAAAAGUUCAGACCUAUCAACUUGCUUAAUUGUAGUUUCAAAUUUUUUUACCAUAGUUCAUUAUGUCCACUCUAGUAAGGGUAAGUGGUUGGUUCUUAAAUUAGACUAUGAAAAGGCUUUUGACAAAGUGAACGUUGAGUUUCUAGCUGAGCUCUUUAGGAUUAGAGGCCGUUGUGAUAAAUGGCUAUCUUGGAUCCACCAAAUCAUCCAUGGAGGCUCAGUUGGGGUCAAAAUAAACAAUGUUGAGGGGGAUUUCUUGGUCACUUGCAAAGUGCUAAAGCAAGGGGAUUCCAUUUCCCCUCUUUUAUUUGAUCUAGUAGAAGAUGUCCUUACUGGAUGCUUUCUAAAGGUGUUGCUCAUGAUUUGAUCAGAGGCUUUGCACUGAGGUUUGCCAGGAGGGAUUAUAUGCCUUCAAUAUGUUAAUGAUACUAUAUUAUUCCUAGAUAAUGAUUCAAAUCAUGCCCAAAACCUGAAAACAGUCUUGAACUACUUUGAACAAGUUUCUGGCAUGAGAAUCAACUACAACAAAGAGUGAGCUUAUUCCUAUUAGUAUGGAGGAAGAUUACAUCAAGAUCUUCCUAAACCUACUAGAAUGCACUGCAGGUAGUUUUCCCAUUAGAUACCUUGGGAUUCUGCUUCACCAUGACAAGCUUAGAAAGGAGGAUCAACCUCUGACAGAUAAAUUUUUGAAGAGAAUUGUUGGUUGGCAAGGAAGCUCCUCUCAAGUAAAGGCAUGCUCAUACUUAUUCGGGCUUGCCUUGCCAGCAUUCCUAUCUACCUUUUGUCCUUCUUUAAAAUCCCUAAAUAGGCUAUUAAUAUGAUCGAAUCUGAGUGUCACAUUGCCAGUGGAAUGAUUCUGAGGGUCAUAGAGCUCCACCUAGCUAACUGGCCUAUUUAUUCACCUCUCCCCUCGUUGUGCAAUUUUGGCCUAUUUAUUCCAUUUGUAAUGAGCAGUCUAAAUGUAUUAGUGAAGUUUAGGAUGGUCAUCAACUGAAGCUUUCUUUUAGAAGGAUCUUUCAUGAUAAACUCAUGGAACAACAGUAUCAACUAGUGGAGAUAGCUGGCAGUGUUAUAUUCACUGAAGAUACAAAUUCAAUGGUUUGGCAGCUUCAGAGGGGUACAACCAGAUUUUGUUCCUGCUGUUUGGAAUCGUAAAGUUCACCUAACAUCCAUGUAUUUCUUUGGUUGCUUUCUCUUGAUAAGCUAAUGACUAGGGACAAUCUUAGGAAAAGGCACAUAAUCGAAGGUUUAACUGCGUUUUUAGCACUAAAGAUGAAUUUGGUUUUCAUUUGUUGUUUGAUAGUGUUGGAGCUAGAAGUAUUUGGUCAUUUAUUAGAGACCACUUCAAAGUUUCCAUAGGACAUGAUUAUGAAUCUUUAGCAAGAUUCUGGAUUUCUAAUAAUAAGAACUCUGCUUUAAAUAUUGUCUGUUUUCCUGUUGUUUGGUGUUUGCGAAAAUAUAGGAACUUUAUGAUUUUUAACAGCACCAAACGGAUCUCUGUUAUCCAGGUUUUGAGGUUGAUCGCCCUAUCUCUAGAACAAAGUAGAUCGAGGUCGAUGAGCUUUAUAGAAGCCCUAAUGGAAUUCGUUCAGAAACCCCUAAUGAUACUAGGUGGCCGAAGCAGAUGAUGCAAGAUGACCCUGGAAUACCACUCCAUAGUGACUUCUGGCGCAAGUUCAAAAACUUUGAACCUGACGGCCAUGGUUUUAAACCUAUAGUCAAGAAGAAGGAUUCACGAACAAGACCGCCUCGUCCAGCCCAGUGUCCACUCUCGAUAACUGGUGUUCACCACAAUUUAUGUCGGCGCUGCCGUUGAGCAUGCGAUCUAUUGAAGAAGCUCCAUGCUAGGUGCGUUAUUUUCCUUCUCGCACGGGUCUACUCUGGCUGUGUUUGUUUUAGAACCUUUUGGCCCUGCUGGGCAUCGGUGUAUUUUUAUACACCCGUACUUAUUUAUAGGUGUAUAACAUUGGCCACACUUGAUUUUGACCUGCAAAAAGAAACGGCGGGUGGAGAUCUGUAUAUUUUAUAGGGGUACCAGUGGUUGGGGCCCGUCAUUGCGGGCCGCUUGAGAGGAAAUUUUGCGCACCUCACUUUCAUCUACAAAUUAAAAAAACAUUCGCUUCACAUGGACAUCACAUCCAUCUCUUUUUUUUGCGGGUACAAAUUUGUAUUACUCAAGACCUCAAGUCAUUACAGUCCAUUGCAGCCAACUCCAAAGCAUCUGGAGGUCACGAACCAAGCCAAGUCAUGGUUCUACCCUCACCACGAGCAAAAUAUGCUAAACUAUCACUAACUUUAUUUUGGCUACGAUUUACAUGAGUAAUACAAAAAUCACGGAGGGACAAAAGAUAUUUAAUCUCCUUGAUGAUGGACGAGUAAACCGAUCUAUCAAUAUCUGAAGCUUGAAUCAAUUUUACUGCCAUUAGGGAGUCCAUCUCAACCUGCACGGGCAAGUCGCUCCUCUGGAUAGAAAAGGAUAGACCUUCCAUGCAUGCACAUAGCUCAGCUUCGAGCGCGUCCCGACAGUGAAACAAUUGCCUACAGGAAGAGAAAAUGAUGGCACCCCUGUCAUCCCUUAACACCAUACCUGCACCAGCCGAUCCAUCCUCUGCAAAGGAACCGUCAGUAUUUAGCUUGACAAAGCCAAAGCUUGGAGCAGCCCACUUGGGGUCUGUACUUUUGUCCUUAAGAGGUCAAGUUGCUCCAUAUAACAUCAGGGAUUUUCCCUUGGAAGGUUAAGCAACAAGAUUAGAUUUAAUGCCAAUGAGAGAGUCCAGGUAACUCGUCAAAAAUCUGCGUGAAACUUCCAUGGGUGGCGGGGCUUUGUUAUGAACAAUCUCGUUGCGUAUGUGCCACGCCUUCCACAACGUCAUUAGUAGCAUGGACCGUUCAAUAUCCUGCAAUUUGGAGAGCACUUGCAGCAGCCAUUCAUGGCCGGAGGUCUGGAAAGAAGAUAGGUUUGGUAGAGGCCAAACUUCCGACAUGACAUCAUAGAGCACACAUGAUAAUGUACAGCGACAGAGAGCAUGAAAUGAAUCCUCGGUCUCGAUAGAACAUACCGGACACAAGUCAUUAACCUCAAGCCCUCUUUUAUGCUUAUUAUUCCAUGUAGGAAGUGAUUCUGUAGCAGCUCGCCAUGCAAAGUUGCGCACUGAGGGAGGAACAUCGGCGGACCAAAUGAGUUUCCAACAAUCACGACGUCCUUCCGGCCGCGAGUUAGAUCCCGUGGCGCUGUCCCUGAUGGCCUCUUCAAAGCCGAAUUGAUAUGCACUUUUAACAGAGAAUAAGCCAAAUUUACCUGGACCCCAAGCCAAGGUAUCCUCCUCCAAUCUCGGCGAGGCCCUAAUCUUUAAGAUUUCAUACACAUCCACGGGCACAAAAUAUUGCUGCAGUAAACCGGUCUUCCAGGAACCGUUAUCAUUAAGCAAAUCCGAGACAAAGUGAUACCUGCAUCUUCCUCUUGCAGAAAUAGGUUUGUAGGAGUAUGGUCUAGGGAUCCAAUUGUCACGCCAUACACGAAUACUCCUUCCAUUCCCAACUCUCCAAAUCAGACCUUUCUUCAAGAGUUCAAGGCCGUAGCUAAUUACCUACCAGGAGGAAGAAGCGUUACCCGUAAAAACCGUGUCCACAAGAUUACCGUCCGGGUAGUAUCUCGCUUUUAGAAUUUGUGCACAUAGGCUGUCCGGCUUGGAAAUCAGUCUCCAAGCCUGCCUCGCUAAUAAAGCUUGAUUGAAAAUUCUGAAAUCUCUGAAACCAACACCCCCUUUGCACUUUGGUUGCAUCAGAUCAUCCCAAGAUCUCCAGUGCACUUUCCUCUUGCCCUUUUCUGCUCCCCAAUAAUAUGCUCGCACCAUCCUUGUGAGUUCAUCGCACACCGAAAAAGGAAGUUUGAAGACUCCCAUCAUAUAUGUGGGGAGGGCCUGGGCUACAGAUUUGAUCAAUGUCUCCCUCCCAGGCUGGGCUAAGAGCCCAUCCCCCAUUGGAUCAGUCUCUUUGUCAAGCUCAUCUCGAGGUUUUGAAACUUUCCCUUGGACAUAUGCCCAUCCGGCGUUGGAAGCCCAAGGUACUUCUCCUCAAAAACCAAGCUAGUGACAUGAAGAACGUCUCUGACCUCCUGCUGAACAGCAGAAGGGCAAGCUUCGCCGAACAUAAUCGAGCAUUUAUCGAAGUUCAAGCUCUGCCCCGUUGCCUUACCAUACUGAUCCAAAGCUAGCUUCACUUUUUCAGCCCGUGCACGGUUUGCUUUGAAGAAGAGCAUAGUAUCGUCAGCAAACAAAAGAUGUGAAACACCCGGAGCUCUUCUACAUACCUUAACAGGAGUAAUAUCACCAGUAGAAACAUAAUGCUUCAGUAUUGCAGAUAGUCCAUUGGCUACAAACAGGAAUAAGAAGGGAGAAAGUGGAUCGCCCUGCCGAAGCCCACGCGUCGGUGCAAAUGAAUCCAAGAGGGUUCCAUUAAGUUUCACAGAAUAUCUCACCGAUGUGACACACGUCAUUAUCCAGUCCACCCAUCAUUGAGAGAAACCCAGCUUUUGCAUCACUUGCUUCAAGAACUUCCAAUCCACCCUGUCAUAUGCCUUUGAGAGAUCAGGCUUAUAAGCACAAAAGCUCUUCGUGGGGGUCCUUUUCUUGCUUAAUAUGGUGAAUACACUCAAACGCCACAAGAGCAUUGUCAGUGAUCAUACGACCUGGGAUAAAAGCACUCUGCUCCUGGGAGACAAUGUCAUCCAGAAGUGGCCUCAAACGGUUCACCAUGCAUUUAGAGAUGACCUUAUAAAUAACAUUGCAGAGACUAAUAGGCCUAUACUGAGAUAUACGGGUUGGGUUGGCAAUUUGUUGAAUAAGAACAAUGGAUGUGGAAUUUACCCCCUCAGGUAUCACUCCUGUAGCAAAGAAGCCUUUUACCGCUGCAAUCACACUGAGCUGUAAAACAUCCCAAUUCCGCUGAAAAAACCUCGCCGGCAACCCGUCAGGCCCCGGAGCCUUUAGAGGGCCAAUCUGAAACAUGGCAUCGGAAAUCUCCUUAUCACCAAAGGGAGCACACAGGCGAAUAUUAUCCUGUUCUGUUACUUUUGCUUCUAGCAAAUCAAGCACCCAUGUUGCAUCAAGCGACGGAUCAGCAGAAAAUAUACCAUGAAAAUUACCAUUUGCAAGAUUGGCCAUCUCAUCAAAACUUGAGUGCACCACACCCAUACUAUCUGUCAACUCGCGUAUUUUAUUCUUGCGAGCGCGCCACACAGCCUUACUCUGAAAGUACUUCGUAUUUCGGUCCCCUUCCAAGCCAUGUAAUUCUAGACCGUUGUAACCACAUCAUCUCCUCCUGGUACAACAACUCAUUCAUUUUGUCAGUUAUAUUCCUAAUCUCCUGUCUGUCUGCAUUCAUGGACAUAAGUUCCUCCAACUGUGAUCUGGACUUUGCUAAUUCCCGAGAUAUAUUGCCGAAUUUCUUAUUGGCCCAAGCAUUUAGGGUAGCUAGAGUCUUGUGUAAUGCAUUUUGGAGGCUGUCCAGACUGUCCACUUGCCCUACAGAUUCCCAUGCCUCCUUAAUCACUGCCGGCAAGGUUGAAUCUCUCUCUCAAAAGACUUCAUAGCGUCUCGGCUUAGGCCCUUGAGGACCCUGAUCCGGUGCGCCCUUCAAGACCAGAGCAACAUGGUCCGAACAAGGCGAAACCACAUGUUGCACAGAAUAGAAGGGAUAAAGAUUACGCCAUUCAUUAGUGGCUGUAGCUCAAUCAAGGCGGACCUUGACAUUAUUUGUGCCAGCUCGCAGAUUAUCGUAUGUAAAUGGGAUACCCAUGAAUCCCAGAUCAACCAGCCCACAUACUUCGAGCGUAUCACGGAAGGCGACCAUUUGUUGUUCCGGUCUAGGGGUAGCAGAAAGGUGUUCAAAAUCCCAGAGGGCUUCAUUGAAGUCCCCAAUAACCAGCCACGGCGAAUCACACACACUCUUGAGACCUUGAAGCUUAGCCCACAUGAGAUGGCGAUUUUCGACACGUGGUUCACCAUAAACAAAGGUCACUCUCCACCGUACUGCGUCCGGUUGCAUCUUCACCAGAGCAUCAAUGUACUGAUCAUCCUUGUCUAGGACAUCAACCAAACAGGAUUCAUGCCAAGCCACCACUCAAACCAUUGCUAUCAACUCCAUCAAAACCCUUCAAACCAAGGCGGCCCCGAAGCCUCCUCAUCUUUGUAGCUUUCUGUCUAGUCUCGCAAAGAAAAACUAACAUGGGGGGAAUGCGACUGCGAGAGCGUCGCAACNNNNNNNNNNNNNNNNNNNNNNNNNNNNNNNNNNNNNNNNNNNNNNNNNNNNNNNNNNNNNNNNNNNNNNNNNNNNNNNNNNNNNNNNNNNNNNNNNNNNNNNNNNNNNNNNNNNNNNNNNNNNNNNNNNNNNNNNNNNNNNNNNNNNNNNNNNNNNNNNNNNNNNNNNNNNNNNNNNNNNNNNNNNNNNNNNNNNNNNNNNNNNNNNNNNNNNNNNNNNNNNNNNNNNNNNNNNNNNNNNNNNNNNNNNNNNNNNNNNNNNNNNNNNNNNNNNNNNNNNNNNNNNNNNNNNNNNNNNNNNNNNNNNNNNNNNNNNNNNNNNNNNNNNNNNNNNNNNNNNNNNNNNNNNNNNNNNNNNNNNNNNNNNNNNNNNNNNNNNNNNNNNNNNNNNNNNNNNNNNNNNNNNNNNNNNNNNNNNNNNNNNNNNGCGCAGUUCCAACUUAUGAGAUUCAUUGUUCCCGGCGGAACCCCUCCGAGGAGCCCGCCGAUAAGUUCAGAUUCUUUGUUUUGGUAUUCGCUACUGGAACAGAGUUUGCACCAGUUCUCACCCUCUUGGGGUCUUGUUUGCCGGAUGGACUUGGGGGUAUAGCAGCAACAGCACCCACCGGAUUACUCUGGGCAUUCACAGCGGCCUGUGUAAGCUUCUCUGUAUUGUCUCUCUUCCUGCUAUUAUCCGUCUCCUCAAGAUUCGCUCCUGGCCCAGACUUGUUAUCCACUUCCAUAGCCACUAGGGCCGUUGUGUUAGCACUAGGAUCAGCAAGAGGAGUACCAUCCUGAGUUUGCGUAGUAGUCCUGCCACUAGCACGUCCACUCCAGGAUGCGCGCAGCUCCUUAAAUAUAAGCUUUGAUGCAGCAUGAACACCGUCCCCAUGCGCAGUAUGGAGAUGGCCGAUCAUACCGCAGACUGCACACCAGUCCGGAAGUCUUUCAUACUUCACCUUGAAAAUCUGCCUCCUUUUCUUCCUCACAAUGGACACAUGAUUCUUCAGUGGGUUCCUCACAUCAAGAAUUACACGGGCUCUACAGAAAUUACCAGCAAAAUCACCCGAGUCCUUGUCCUCCACAUAGAAAACACCCACUUUCUCUGCUAGUGGUUUCAUAAGUUUCUCAUAGCCCUCUGGAAGGUCAUGGAUUUGAAUCCAGAUCUUAAACGUAUUUAGAUCAAUGGUCGACGGUUUAGUGAAUCCGUCAUACGGGGCGAGCAAGACUGGUUGCCCACGGAACGCCCAUGGCCCUCCUUCCAUCACCUUAAUUAUUCCAAUCUCCCAAACAAGUAAAUUGCAUCGUGUAGAGAUUAUUACCCAACGAGCGAAACUUAACAGUCUGCGCAAGAUCCCAUGCGUUCCUCAUGUUCUUGUAAAACCAGAAGUCCCCAUAUUCAUGGGUAGUAUGUACCUUGCCAAUUGCCAGCCAACGAGGAUCUGGGGUGUUCUCCUCAACCUCGUCCUCGUAGACCAGGUCGUCGAACUCCUCAUCAACAAUCCCAAGUUCCUCCAUCAAACUUGCUAUUUCCUUGUCCUCCAAGUCCUCAGCAUCCGCCGCACCGCUCGCCAUCUGAACCCUAGAUGAGAUUAGCCGCCGGGAACCCUAACCCUAAACGUGCGACAAGGCCGGGUAGCCACACAAGGUAGCCCCUUGAUCAGCCCGAUCGCAGCCAGAGAGGGGAGGGGAAGGCAGCGAGAUGAUCCGAUCGAAGUUUGGUCUCAACGACGGCCAAGGUCGCGCGAGAGGGGAAAGGUUACAUCACAUCCAUCUCAAAAGGAAAAAAGAAAAAAAACCCAAAAAAACUUUUCUCAAAAAAAAAGAAAAAGUCUCACUACCAUUUAAAAAACUCUAAAAUUUUCUCACCGUGACCAACAAGCAUGCGCCACAUGGCAUAACGGGUUGGCCACCAUUCUACCGCGCCUUAAUGCGUUUAAUGGUGCGCUGUGAAACGCCAAUACAAUCUUUUUUUGAAAGAUCCAGCAAAGCUGCUGGCUUUUCAUAUUGAUCAUAGCAGGAAGCAAUGGGUAAACAAAGCAUACAUGGCGAUUGAUCCUAGGAUCAAAAGAGAUAAACUGGAGAGAAAACCAAAGAAACUGGGAAAGAUCACAGAACUAAAAAACAGCCAACGUUGCGCUCCUCAGCCUAUCCCUUCUGGUGGCAAGGUGAAAGGGUGCAGCAGGCAAGAUGCACCCGCCUGACGCCAUAGCUCGAUAGCCCGUCUGAUCGCCUGUAUCACCUCGCACAAAGAGGCCUCGCGCCCUCUGAAAGUGCAGUGUCACGGAUUUGAUCCCCUUUCUGAGUUCAGGUUUGGCGUUUUCCACAAUCUUGAGCACACGAUCCGCCCCGUUCAGGCCGUCACUGUCCGCGUGCAGCUUCAGGGCCUCACAGCCGUUCCAAGCCGACAGGUUGCCCCAUAGUGCCUGAGCGAACGGGCACGACCAAACGCCAAUACAAUCAGGGCCUUUAUGUCGUUGUUUUUACUUUCCGUUGAACUGCUCCCUGCCUAAGUGGGCUAAUGGUGGUUUCAUUUGGUAAUGGAACCGGGUAGAGCCUUCCCGUUAGUCUAAAAAAUAAACAAAAUACUUACCUCGGACCUACAGAUGCUAAUCUAUGAUACACAUAGGUUGAGGCGUUGAGCAGAUAAUACUUAGCGAAGAGGGAAACAUGAUGGCCUAGGAUCCUCUCACGUAAUAUAUUAGUUCCAACUUUGGUCACUAUCAAUUUGAAUAGGGACCAAAGUUGAAACUGACAUGCAUCGAGCACAACAUUCGCAAAAUUGCGCGCCACGGUUUACCGACGUUAAACGUGAUUUGAAAAUGUAAUAAUGGGCACAAAGUCUCGGAGCCCGAAUAAAGUGACAUGACAGCCAGCGAAUGUAGUCCAAGAUUUAGGUGGCAAGUACUUAGUCGCGUAGAGCCUAGACUAGCUACCGAUCGACGACAGUGACAGUGGUUUCAAAUAAAAUGCACGUUCGCUCUUUGUCUGACCCGUGAGCCACUCUGUUGUGUUGGGCAGCUCUUGAGAUCGGUCAUCGAGCUGUGGCUCUCUCGUGUCGUCUGGCUUUGAUGCGUGGUCAUGUCGAGCUGUUGCUGGUGCUCCUUGUCUGACUGCUAUAAUGGACUAGCCCAUCGGUUGGUUUGCUUGCUCUCAUCAACCACGCAUGCACGCCCUCCAGUACCUACAUAAUAUAGCCAUGAAGAGAGGUUAUUAGCUGCUGCUACCACUAGCCUAAUAAUGCCGGAUUAUCAUGCGCCCACGCGCCCGGGCUCCUUCUGCGGCUGUCAAUUUGACUAGUGCUCCGGAAGGACUCCGUCCAUAUUAUCAAGCACAUAAAUUACAAAGAAGAGAUACAGCCAUAUGAAGCACGAUUGUUCUUGGCGGUAGUGGCAACAAAUUAGACCCCUGCCCGCGUAAUCUGGACCUUUAAACAAAAGUACAAAAGUGAUUGAUACAUUCCGUCUUGACUAAAAGUUCAGUACUGUGUCGGCAGGGAAUGCAUGCGUUGACCGCGACGCUACGGAGUGCUUGGCCGAUCCGAAGCGAAACGCUAGGCUGGCUGGGAUCACAAUGGUAGGAUAUUUCGAGAUUGAGAUGCUGCAACCACCAUCAAGAUUGAUCGCUCCAAAUAAUGGAGUGUCCUUUUUUUUGAGAAAACUUCCAAUCUAUUCGUCUUCAAUCAUGGCAAUACAAAGAACACAAAAAAUAAUAAAAAUUACAUCCAGAUUCGUAGACCACCCAGCGACGACUACAAACACUGAAGCAAACCGAAGGCGCGCCACUGUCAUCGCCCCUCCCUCGCCGGAGCCAGGCAAAACUUGCUGUAGUAGACAGUCAGGAAGUCAUCGUGCUAAGGUACCAUAGGACCAGCGCAGCAGAACAACAACCGCCGCUGAUAAAGAGUAGUGUAGAUUGGAAGGAUCCAACUUGAAGAAACACAAAUGUAGACGAACUACGACCAGAUUCGAACAAAUCCACCAAGGACAGAUCCGUCGGAGACACACCUCCACACGCCCAUCGACAAUGGUAGACAUAGGAAGCCGCCGCCGUCUCGUCUUCUUGAGUAGGACACAAACACUAACAAAAGUUGAAGAAAUAUCUAAAACCAGAGCCCUCCCGCCGGUAAGAGCCGGGAUCCACCGCGCCGCCAUGGCCCUAAGGCCACCGGAGACAAGGCGGACUGACGGUGGCACCGACACGAGGCAGAGAAACCCUAAAUAAUAUAUACUACCACUCCCAAAGCCGUGAUAGCAUAAGCUACCUCCAUGGCACACACGCGCGCACCCUGUCGUAAUGUAAACCAGUGGCAUAUCAUGCGUCCAUCCUCUAUUGGAUAGAACAUUCUGCAGCCAGUUAAUUGUAUAGUAUACCCCUGAAAAAAAACUGUAGAGUGUAGCCAAAGAAAAGAUGAUGAUACCCGUAAUAUAUAGUACUCCUGCCAAGAGUAUUCCUCAUCAUCGUGCAUACUAUUUGCCACCAGGGCGCCAGUAAUUUUAGUUGCAAAUUUAUCAUUAGUGUGGCCAUUACCUGCAAAGCUUACGCGACGUCAGCAAGACAGUACUUCAUUGCUCCUUCUCUUUCCUGCCCGCAAGCUUGGCAAGAUAGCACAAAAUUCUCCUUAGGGCAUGGCCAUCGCUCCACUCUAGACAGAUGCCCCAGCUAUCCACGUCGGAUUCUACAGUCCAGCUCAUAUGAACGUGCUGCUUGCAGACCAAAGCGGGCUCCUGCAGAAGAACCCAUCUCUUGGCUGACAAAAACGAGAGAGAGGAAAAAGCAAGAGAAAGUGACCAGGAUGACCUUGCUCGUCCCCCGUGCUGCUAGCAUUGAGUAAUCAAUGUCACAACGGUGGUCUCGUCUUCUCUAGCUGAGAUGGAGUGCACUGGGGCAGCACCUGGUGCUGCUACCAUUGCUCAUGCCCUUAAUUUGUCUAAGUUGUUGCAGCAAGGAGGAAAUUAUGACAUGAUCAAGAUCUACAUCAAGCAAGGAUCAUUUCCAUAUAGAGAAGGCCAUUGGAGGAUUUAACAGAAGAGCAGCUGAGCACUGGUACGAGCACCCUCGCUCGUACUGAUGCUUGUGCCAGGUGGGCCCCACUUUGUCACGUCCAACCAAACAACAUUCCUGAAGGGGCCCGAGCCAAAUCUAUCUGCGGGGCUUCCAAAACCCCAACGCGGAGGCUCUACAACUAUAAAAGGGCGAAGGAAGAUACCGCAGUCGUCUCUUCGACAUGCCAGACAGUUUGCCACCUGCAUUCGCCAAGUUCGAUCCCCACAACCACCAUCAUAGCCUUCACAUAACCAUAGCCCACUCCACAAUAUAUUAAACUUGUACUCCGUUGUUUUCAUCGCGAUCAACGAGAUUGUAAGACGGUUUUAAAUCAUUCACCUUGCACAAGCAUGUGUAAUAUCUCUUUUGCAUGAUUUGUCGCUAUGUGUGAGUAAUGCCCUCAGGCUAAGGCGGAGGUGUAGUGGGACAUCCCACCUACAUGCUGGAGAUGGGACCCAUGGGGUGUUCAUCCUAUAUUAUCUUUGUACUGCGAUUUGUUAUUUCUUACUAGAGCCUGAUGUGGAAGGCUAAUGUGCCUCAAAAUAUCAGUGUUUUUGCGUGGCGACUAACGUCAAAUAGUCUGCUAUACAAGUUAAUAGGCUGAAACAUCAUCAGACUGACACUGGUAAGUACUCUAUCCGAGGUAAUGCAGAUGAGCAUGGAUUUCAUGCCAUUGUGUUCUGUCCGAAGGUGUGUGCUUUGUCUUUUGAUCCUACAGAAGUUUGAAAUCUUCGAUGGAGGAUUUAUUUCAUCAAGUCUAGUCUGGACUGGACUGGACUGGUUGUUGGUUUUCUUGACUGGGUAUCUCUGUGCGAUCAAAGCUUCUUUUUUGAGAGCUUGGCACCAUAGGAACGACACAUUCUUUGGUGAGGGGAGGCCGCUCAUUCAAGAUUUUGUUAUUAAUUUUGUCAGCAAUUGGUCCUUCUUCUCCGGAAGCCAAAAUGUGUCCUCCUAUCUGCAUGAUGGGAAGGAAAAAUAUUUGCUUCUUACGCAAUAGGUUAAUGUUUCACAUGCUUAAGUGCAUGCUUUGUGAGAGCCUUCGUCGUUUAAGUGUAUAAAGGUUAAUGUGGAUGAUAGCUAUGUUGAUAAUUGUGGGUCAACUAGUGUAGAGAUUGUUGCGAGGGGUUCUAAAGGCGAGAUCCUCAUAUCUUCUUGGAUCUUAAUCCUAUAUGCUCAAGUGUGGACGAGGGUGAGCUUCAUGCGUGUCUUGUGAGUCUUUACAUCGAUUUCACUCUUCACCACCCCAUAAUUUUGAAAACGGAUUGCUCUUUAUGCACUCUUUCUUUAUAACCACUCUUUGGACAUGUAUUGCUCUUGUGAAGUUGAAGAAGAGCCUCUUGCGGUCGUGCAACUUUUACAGAGCUUUGCCCUAAUAAAGGUUGAAAAGAAGCUAACAAAGUGGCUUAUGAGAUUGCUAAGGUUUGCUUUGUUACUUAUUCUGAUGGUUGUUAGUGGGUGACAUCAUGUCUUGUGUGACAACUUUGGAAUAUUAAUAAACAAACAUGAAUUAGGAGUAUAUCAUAGACAAAAUUUCCUUUUUUGUAUGAAACAUUAAUAUAAAUCUAUGUUGAUUUAAUAACACUGUCAUUAAAAGUUCACUAAUUACCAAACAAAAUUAUUAUUUUAAUAAAAAAGAUAUAAAUUUGCAUUACUUAUUUCUUGAAAAUAUUUAAUCUUAAUAUUUGCUAAAUUUAAUUAACCUAUUACUAAAAUCCAAUAAAUACACAAUUAUGUUUUCCCUAUCAAUUGUUGUUUUAAUCAACGGAUCUGACAAUCUUCCUUAGUGGUAAUUAUAUUGGCUUUCGCGACCUUGAAUAUUCCAAUUUUAACAUAAAUAAUAUUUUUAUCAAACUUUUUUACUUGUGACAUUUUUCAUCAAAGCAAAUCUUAGGUGAUAACUAGCUACAUUAUAAUGCUAUUAAAUUUUAACUAUAGUGUUUCUCUCUUAUACUGUUAUAUAACGUCUGAUCGAGAAAAUGCAUCUGGCAUUUGCUAAGUUACAAAUCUUUCUAACAAAAGUGAUAUUAUUAUCAUUUGGUAUAUUUCCUGUAAGCAAGAUCAAAGAAAAUCUCCUUAUAUGCAAAAUUUAAAAAGGAUGUAAUCAUUGCUUCCAAAGAUCAAUUUNNNNNNNNNNNNNNNNNNNNNNNNNNNNNNNNNNNNNNNNNNNNNNNNNNNNNNNNNNNNNNNNNNNNNNNNNNNNNNNNNNNNNNNNNNNNNNNNNNNNNNNNNNNNNNNNNNNNNNNNNNNNNNNNNNNNNNNNNNNNNNNNNNNNNNNNNNNNNNNNNNNNNNNNNNNNNNNNNNNNNNNNNNNNNNNNNNNNNNNNNNNNNNNNNNNNNNNNNNNNNNNNNNNNNNNNNNNNNNNNNGUGUUCAAGUUCAUAUAUAGGGUAACGUUAUUCUACACCCCUAGUAAUGCUAUAUACAAAAUCUAGUAAAACGGUGUAUAAAAUGUAGUAAUCCAGAAAAUAAUUUUUUACUACACAAGUUUGUAAUUUAGUACAUUUUUUUACGAAAAUUACUAUAUGUUGCAUAGUGUGUUACCAUAUUUUGUAUGUACCCCUACUGGGGUGUAGAAUAAGCUAUUCUACACUCACGCUUAGUUUAGCGUUACUAUAUAUAUGUUACCCUAUAUAUAUAUGUCCUCCAAUAUCUCAAUAGAGAGAUCUUAGCGUACAUCUAAGAUAUUUUGAUAGUGGUUUCUAGUUUAUGAUUACAUAUAUGCAAAUAGGAAAGUAUAUUGUAUAUUUGAUGUCUAGACGAGGAGCUUCUCAACAAAUUGGUAUGUUGACUUCGCAGACUUCUUUAGUCAAAUGUGUCUUACAUGUUAGUCCCUAUGUUCCAAAAUAUAGUGCAUAUAGAUUUUUUAAAAAGUUAAACCUUACAAAUGUUGACAAACUUUUUAGAGAAAAACAUUUACAUCUAGAAUGCCAAACAUAUAUCAUUAGAUUCAACAUAAGAUGUAGCUUCAUAUUCUAUAUAUUUCAUAUUAUAGAUAUAAUAAACUUAGUCAAAGUUUGCAAAGUCUGACUUUUCAAGAAAUCUAUACGCACUACAUCAUGGAACAGAGUGAGUACAACACAAUAGUUAGUUCAUAGCUUGUAUGUGCUUGAUGAAUAUCGAAAUGCCAAAAAGAUAUAAGAGCAUAAAUUCAGAGGAUUGCAUAGGGAGUGUGGAUGUACAAGCCUGGUACCUGGCUACAAGUCCUAGUGGACAUGGAUUUGGUUUUUGGAACUCCUUGCAUUCCUUAAAAGAAAUAGUAAUAGGUAUCGUUUUUCCCAGACUAGAUCAUUGAUGUCGUGCGUUGCUGCGCUUGUCCAUCUUGGCGAUAGAAUGAUAGUAAUUUACAACAAAGAAUAUCAUACACGAGCAUUAUGCAUACAUUAUCAACUAUUCAAAUUAUGAAGUCUUGAGAAUUUGGUUGUGCUUCUAGCCAACGUUGUUCGUGCAUAGAUUACUCACAACUUCCAAAGUCUGUGAUACCAAAAAGCAUACAUGAAUCAGAGUCUGAUCUUUCAUUCUAGAGCUAGCACAUGCUAGAAAGAUCCACGAGUACUUAGUAAAGAAUAAACCGGUCAUCAAACCAUCAAUUGACUCACAACUGUUAUGUAAUAGAAGCUACAUGCAGGUUGUGCACACCAUCUCCUAUUGUUCCUCUUGUACGUUGAAGUAUGCGGAUGGAACAAAUAUGUUAGAAAAACUAUUUAGUGUCAAAUGAUUCUGUUAAUCAACACACCACACUUAUCAAGCUGUAUAAGCUUCAUAUAUAGCGUCAAGUAAACCGCAAGAUGUUAACUUAAAAUAAGAUGCACAAAUAAUAAUUACUUGUCAACAUCGGAUUCUUCGAAUGUGUCAAUAAACUUUUGACAAAGAGAAGUAAAAAUAUGGAACAUUUGAAAAAACACCGGUUUUCCAAAUGCGUAUGGAGUUGUGUGCGUUUCGAUCUAGAUAGUCCAUACUUCUAUGCAAACAUAUUAAAGAAGCUUAUUAGUAACAUGUUUACAAAAAAAGAAGCUUAGUAACCUGAAAAAAUAUUGUCCAUAAAAAAACCUGUAAAAAUGACAACCAGGUAUACACAAGUCUUCUCUUUCUCUCCUGUAACGGGCUGUUGUUUCUGAUCUGAAAUGCACGCAACGUACAGUGAGUGAUAUGCAUCGUCAUGUCGAGCUCUUUUUUAGUGCUCCUUGUCUGACGCUAGUUGCUUGCUUUCCCGUCGAAAGUACCUUCCUACACAGCUCAUAUGCUCCUUUUUUUCUUGCAGGUGAACAGUAAAAUAAAUAAAAUAGAAAAACAUUUCAAGAUAGGAUAAAAUAAAUAAAAUAUGCUCCCCUCAUAUACUCCUGCUGUGAACAGUAAAUAAAUAAAAUAGGAAAACAUUUCAAAAAAUUAUAAAAAGUAAUUGUCGCAUACUUUAAGAAAUAGUUGUUGUGCAUGCAAAAUUCCAUCAGGAAAUCCCAUUGUUGGAAGUCGUGGCAAAAACAGAAAAACCAAAAUUACAGCUCCAAAAUGCGUUUGAAAGUAACAUUUUUCAGCAUCGAUUUUGUUUUUUUACCACACCUUUCACCAAUAUCAUUUCGUGAUGAAAUUUUGCAUGCACAACAAAUAUUUCUUAAAGUUUGCCAUUAACAUUUCAGAAUUUUUUAAAAUGUUUUUCUAUUUUAGUGUCCACGUCCCUUUCCCGUGCGUACGUACGUGAGUGAUUGCUUGCUUGCUCCCCUCAAUUAAGCACGCACCACCUCGAUUGUACAUAGCCAGCAAGAUUAUUAUAGGUGCCAGUAGCCUAAUAGUGGCGGUUACAUUUGCAGCACUACAUCUCUGGACUAAAAAAAAGCUCACUGUGUGUCGGCAUUGACAUCAACGUAGUUAAGCGCUCAACCUCUGAAACGUUGUGUUGGUUAUUUUGAGAUCGGGAUACUCCAAUCACCGUAAGAUCCAUGCAAACAGUGGAGCAUAUAUGUACAUCAUAUGCGGAUAUUCUCUUUUGCUCCUAGGAGCAAAAAAGCAAAAAAGCCGCGUCCCAUCAUAUGGAAUUAUACAUGGAUCCUCCAGGUUGUUACACUUGCCCCUGGCACGCACCGAACACACCCUGUCUUUUUUUUAUGCGAGAGAAAUUUCCAAUCUAGUCAUCAAUCAUGACAGUACAAAAAACACAAGAGUUAAUAAAAAUUACAACCAGGUUUAUGGACAACCUAGCGACGACUACAAGCACUGGAGCGAGCAGAAGGCGCGCCGCCGUCAUCGCCCUUCCAUCAUCGAUAUCACGUACAGUACUUUUCCUACAAGAAAUUAAAUAUUCCGUUGUUGAUCGCAUGGAUAUUAUACGACAUGUCUGCUUGGAACCUUCCACAGCAGCAGCCAGCGGCUAGCGAGAAGAAAAAGAUAGCUGCAGUUGCUUGCGUCGUAUUACUCGAGCGGACUUUGUUUUUCUACCGACCUCCGAGGCCAUCAUUGUUACUACCCUGCUAAGCUGUAUGUAUGCCAUGCAGUACGAGUACCAUAACAAAUACACUGGAUAUUUUAAGUGUUUAUGCAUGAUUUUAGAAAAUAUUCAUUUAUUUAAAAGAAGUGUUCAACUAUUCAAAAAAAGUUCAUGUAGCUUAUUAAAAUGUUUUCUUUAAAAAAUAUUCUUUUUUUAACACAGUACAGACGCAAGCGCUCAUAUACACGCACAUACAUUCACCCCUAUGAACGCACACACGCACACCCUACCCCUAUGAGCACCUUCGAAAGACUGAGCCGUCAUAUCAUCUUGAAAUUUACGAAGUCACCGUAGGCACCUCGUCGUCGACGGGAACGUCUCCUCCCACUGAAUGCGCAUCGCCGGAAAUCCUGAAUAAAUCCAGGAAUAAAUGCGAGCAACACGACUUGAACCCUGGUGGGCUGGGGAUAUCACAGUCCCUCUAACCAUCCAACCACAGGUUGGUUCGCAAAAAAAUAUAUUCUUUUAUAGAAAUGGAAAAUGGUAAAAAUAAAAAUUAAGACAAAAAGGUAAAAUAAAACAAAAAAAGGAAGGAAAAAAUAUCGGGACAAAAAUCACUGAAACCCCCCUAAGCACGCCCUCCCACCGCAUACAGCAGGGCCUAACCCACGCCCGAGGGCUGGCGGGCAAUCCCCUAAAACCCUAAACUCCCUGGUGCGUCGAUGGUUUGGGGUCGAGUGGGCCCAUGCUGUCAAUGUAUGCUCGCAGGGGCUUGGGCCUUUUUGUUUUUAUCGCGUGCUUUACAUAUCGCUCCUUCCUCAUUAGGUGAUGGGGCUGCAUGAUUUCCGGAGUAAUGGGGUGUGUUGAGUUUGGUGCGGUUCCGAGCGGGGCGGCAGUUGCCGCAAUCAUGUGGGGCCUUGGAUUGGGAGCAGACAGUGCGAUGCCGCUUCUCUGCGUUCUCUGCCUCCUCCUCGAGUGUCCGCGUCGCCUUCGUCUGCCUUGUUGUGUGCCCAACGCUGCAGUCUUUUCGAGGAGGGGUACGCGGGGUGCGCCUUCGGUCUGCACUUUGCAUCGUUUACGUCCGAUCUACUAUAUGAUUGGCUCCUUUUCCUCACUUUACGUAUUUCCCAUUUGUUGUUGCCAUGUGCGCUUGUUGCUACCAGGGUGUUGCGGAUUUGGCAUUGGAUUGAAAUGGCUAAUGUUCGAUUUUUGCUUUGUGGUUGGGCGGUUUUGACUUUUCCAAUGUGAUGUCAUGCAUGUUGCUGCUAUAGGAGUGUGAGUGGUCGGUUCGGGUUGUACCAUGUGUUUGCAUUGUUGUUUAUCAAAUUAACUCUAAUGUGUAUUUAUGGUCAGACGGGUUUAGUGUUAGGUUUGGUUAACAAAUGUAGAUUUUUGUUGAGGUGAUGUUCAUGGAGAAAAAAGUAUGGGCUUGACCAUUAGGGUUUUUUGAUGUGAUAGACAAAGCUACAAGCUUAUGUUCCUAUCAUAAAAAAAAGUUAAUUUGUAAGUGCUAUACUUAGAAAUGAUCAAGAUUUAGGAUUAGUGAUAUGAGAAGAGUUUAGUUUAUUUAUUGUGUUUUGUUGUGAUUAACGAAGAUGAGAUGAGAUCAAAGUAUUGUAAUGUUUUGACAUAUAUUUGUUCAUUACAUCUCUAGAUUGUUGAGCUACUAUUACUGUUUAACCUUCUGUAUAGCGCAAAAUUCAUGCUUAUAACGAACGCUUCAUCUCAAGAGUUGGUGACAUUAGUUUACUACUAGAUUGCUAGCUUUCUUGGUAUGCUUCGUUGGCAAUUUGUGACAGGAUUCGAAUCUUGUUUGAGUCUGCGACAAACUAAGUUUGACACAGAUUUGAGGUGUGCAUGAAACUUUUGUGUUUUAAUGUAUAAUCACUCUAGUUCUGUGCCUUUGCAGUCACCUUUGCACCAAUUUAAUUGUGUUUUAUCAUAUAAUGUAGAUAAUUCAUUGAUUAAUUCGCAGUGAUGUUAUAAGGAGAGGAAGUUGGACCUUUGUGAAGAAAGUAUAUUUUCAUAACCCUAGAAAAAAAAUGUUCGAAUUUUUUUGCACAGAGACACUGGGCCAGAACGGGUACCUAGGAGAGGCCUAAGGGGCCUAGCUGCCCAACAUACAAUGGCGCCUAGGGGGCUCGGGUGACUAUCUGGUGCUACGAGAGCACCUCACAUUAGGUGCUCCCAAUUUUCAAAAUGUACAUUUAAAUGUUUUUUAAAAAAAUGAUUUUUUUGUGGAUGUUAGCAUCACAUGAAUGUACAAUCCCUAAAAAUUUCAAAUCAAAAUAUUAAAUACACAUUGAGAAACAAAAAAGACAAAUCCAGGAUGAAUGUUUUGUGGGAAAACCCCUGAACAUUCCCGAAAUGACACUUUGGUCCACACCCCGUGAUGCUGCCCAUUCGAUCUCAGAUUGACGACCGAGGUCGCGUGGGAGCACCUAAUGUGAGGUGCUUCCGUAGCACCAGAAAUUCUCCCUAGGGGCUCCUAGGGCCAUGUGUAAAAUACUUUUGCAACUUGUGAUUGAUGCAUGUCCAUAUUCAUUUAUUAUCGAUCUCUCACUUUUAAAUAUGAUGUCAUGUUUGUCCAGUUUGAGUUUCGACUGAGGACAAGCAAGGUUUAAGAUUUGGGGAGCUGGUACAACAUUUGUAUCACUAUUUAGGAGGAUAAACACUCUUCUUUUGUGCCUUUGCAAUCACCUUUGAAUCAAUUUACUAGUGGUUUAUUACAUAAUGCAGAUAAGUCAUGGAUUAGUUCCUAGUCAUGCUGUCAUGGAAGGAAUUUGGACCGUUGUGAACAAAGUAUAUUUUGGGACUGAAGAAAAAUAAAAACAAUUGUUCGGAAGUUCUUGCACUAGAUGAGCCAAUGGGCUGGAAGGGUGUACUUGGGCUUGCAAUUUUGGACUUGGUUUUUAAUGAGCAUGUACAGAGUCUAGGUUUCCGUUUUGGGGAGAUUUUGAUGGCAUGGGUUCAUUAGUUUCAGACCUAUCUUAGUCUUAAUUAGAUAUGUAUUACUAUGAUGGGUAAGAUUUGUAGAUGAUAUUUAACCCAAUUAUUUAUUACUAUGAUGGGUAAGAUUGUGAUAUGUUAAUUAUGUAUUUUAAAAGUACUAAACAGGUAUAAAAUGUUACUGGUUUUUAGGAAAAAUUUAAAACAUGCAUGAAAAAUAGGCAUCAAAAUAUAAAUUUCAAAAUAUGUUAAUUAUGUAUUUGCAGAAUGUUAAACGUGUAUAUAAAAUAUUCAUGAUUAUAUGAAAAAUGCAUAAAUAAAAAGUAGACAUUAAAAAAGAUGUUGGAAACAAUAUUAAUCAUGUAUAUAGAAAAAUGUUAGUUGUGUAUAGGAAAAUGUCCCUCCAGUAUAUGAAAAAUGCACAUUGUGAGUGAAAAAAAAAUAUGUAUGUGUUAAAAAAACUGAAUUAAAUAGUAAAAAAAUAUUGUAAACCGGUAAGAAAGAAAGAAAACGUACAAAAGAACACUGAAAACAAAAAGGAAACCGAAUAAAGAAAAACNNNNNNNNNNNNNNNNNNNNNNNNNNNNNNNNNNNNNNNNNNNNNNNNNNNNNNNNNNNNNNNNNNNNNNNNNNNNNNNNNNNNNNNNNNNNNNNNNNNNNNNNNNNNNNNNNNNNNNNNNNNNNNNNNNNNNNNNNNNNNNNNNNNNNNNNNNNNNNNNNNNNNNNNNNNNNNNNNNNNNNNNNNNNNNNNNNNNNNNNNNNNNNNNNNNNNNNNNNNNNNNNNNNNNNNNNNNNNNNNNNNNNNNNNNNNNNNNNNNNNNNNNNNNNNNNNNNNNNNNNNNNNNNNNNNNNNNNNNNNNNNNNNNNNNNNNNNNNNNNNNNNNNNNNNNNNNNNNNNNNNNNNNNNNNNNNNNNNNNNNNNNNNNNNNNNNNNNNNNNNNNNNNNNNNNNNNNNNNNNNNNNNNNNNNNNNNNNNNNNNNNNNNNNNNNNNNNNNNNNNNNNNNNNNNNNNNNNNNNNNNNNNNNNNNNNNNNNNNNNNNNNNNNNNNNNNNNNNNNNNNNNNNNNNNNNNNNNNNNNNNNNNNNNNNNNNNNNNNNNNNNNNNNNNNNNNNNNNNNNNNNNNNNNNNNNNNNNNNNNNNNNNNNNNNNNNNNNNNNNNNNNNNNNNNNNNNNNNNNNNNNNNNNNNNNCUUGUGCAUGAAAAAAAAAUAGACACAUGUUGAAUAUAAGGGAAAAAAUAGAAAACAAAACAUUGUAAACCAAUAAGGAAAUAAUAAAGCCGAAAAAACUGAAAAAAGACCAUAGAAAACUAAAGAAAUAAGAAGAUGAAAAUAAUAAAUAAAAUGAUAAACUGGAAAGUGAGGAAAAAAAAAGAGAAAACCCAAGAAAAAAAAAUGUCUACAAGUGUGGAAAACCGAAAAAAACACAAUAGAAGAAAACCUAGCACUACAGUCUUUGGUCGGCCUGAUGCCAUCCGCACGUAGGUGUUUUCUAAUACGGAUGUGUAUGGGAAAGACAUAGGAUUUGCGCCAAUGUCCAUUGUUAUCUCUUUUAGGAUACCGGCAUUGGGCCAUUUUUAAAAACAAAAACAAAAAAGGCUUUGCAUCUUUUCGUUCUUUAUCUUGAAAAGUGGAUGGUUUAGUGAUGGUGGGCCACAACAGGCUAGGAACGAAGCACAUCGAGUCACCAGUUGGCUCAAAAGAAUUAAAUGGAAGAUGGAUAUCUUUCAAAAAAAUGGAAGAUGGAAUUAAUGAAUACCUCAAAACAAGAGAAGGAUUAGUUGAUGAAUACUUACAUGCUUGUUGCUUACGGAGGUGGAAAACAUUGCCGAAACGGGCUUAACCUAGCGAACUAAUAUCUCAAAAGAGAAAAACCGAGCAAACUAAGCAUGGUGGCAGAGAGUCAAAAGGGGCACACACAUGACCAAUGGCAAGCUAGCAACAUACGCACCCACCACAGCGAUAGCGACGACACAUGUGGUACUCUCGAUUCCAUAUUAUGAAUGGACAUUCGAUUGUUCUAUCAACUUUAUUUAGUGAUUAUUUUUAGAUGCCUAAAUAUUGCCUUAAUAUGUUUGUAUUGAUGACUGUUGCCACAGGCAUUCCAGCACCAGACCAACGUGGACGUGCCGAUAGGGACAACACAACAUCCAUCGACCGACCCAACGACAGGAUUUCAGAAAAGGCAUGUCUUUGAUUCUCAUUCUAUUGAUGCCAUCCUCAGUGACUUCAUACAUAUGAAUAUAGUUGAAUUUGUUAAGAGCCCCUAUAUUCUUGGGCCCUCAAAAUCUCAGCAACUGGAGGAAGAGAUUGCAUCAACUGGGAGGAAUCGUAUGGGAUGAGCGUGUUGCCUUUUCUUUCUGUACUUACCAAUCCGUGUGCUGUUUCUUUCUCCUUUUUCGCUCUCCAUCCAUGUACAAUCACGUGAUACCACGUGAACAAGCCCAUUGGUCGCCCCUUUUCUUUAUUGUACUUGUGUCAUUGUUACACUGUAAACGGUACAUAUGUUAUUAUAAUAGGUUCAUAAGCGGAAAUUGGUUUUGGAGGCCUUCAAAUGCAAAAUUCGAAAUUCGUGAAAAUUCAUACUUUCACAUUUAAAAAAAUUCUGACAAAAGUACAGAUAUAGAUGAAGGCAUAAUGCACAAGUGUGUAAAUUUUUGGCAUGAAAUACGUUAAAAUAAGGGUCGUGAAAAAAACAACAAAUCUAUGGCUUUCUAAAACAUAAUACUAUUCAUCUUUUACACCAUGAAUUUGUCUUUUUUGUACAGGUCGCAUUUCAACGUAUUUCAUCCUGAAAUUUUAUACACACACACACACCUCACAUCCUUAUUUAGUUGUACAAUUUUUUGCAGAUAUUUUUGAAACAAAAAAUAUUGAAAUUUGAAUUUUUUGAAAAAUCUGCCUCCAUGGAGGCCGAGAUCCAAAACGCCGUACUCGUUUAUCAGGGAUUAAUUACACCAUCAAUAUAACAUGUAGUCUCUGAGAAUCCAACAUAAACUAUGAGCCGCUGAGAGAUCUAUGCGCGGUUCAAAUCCAAAGUAUUAGCAGCAUCUUGCUUUUCUGUGGCCCAUAGGAACCCAACGGAUGUGGCCAUCGAACGGCUUACUGACACUGAAACUUCCAACUAUGUUCUACUUCUAUGGUUCCUCUGUUCUAUGGCUGGAGGCGCCGUGAUUCCCGGGUCCCUGCACUACCCCAUUACAAGGACACCACCGCUGAGCUGGCCAGACCCACCUUAGCCGAUGCAGGGAGAUUUUUUCUUCGCAGAAACACCCCAAGGGUAAUUUAUUUCGGAGAUGUGUUAAGAACAAUACAAGCAACAAUUACACAACAAGGACCCUGCAGAAAAAAGAAAAGACAGAAAGUCACACAGAGAGGUCCAACUAAAAAGCAGUCAUCAUCUUCACCCUAGCCUUCCCUUCCAACUCCGGCCAAUCAACGGUGGCAGGAAGGCAACAACUCCACUGCCACCAAGCCUGGCAGGAAGAGAUGUCGUGGCGAUGACAAUAGGGAUGGAGGACAGAAACCUCACCAUGUACGGCUAUUGGCGUCGCCUCGCCGAUCGCCCAGGGGUCAAAAAAUCUCAUCAGAUUACCAGAUCUGCUAGCACCAUGAGCCGCCAACACCUCGACGAAGCCAACCACUGCAUAAAAAAGGGUAAGAGCAGUGACAAGUUUAUUUCCCCUCAGACAACAUCUCCCUCGCCACAUCAUUGCCAGCUGAAAACCUCAGACCACCCCCCUAUAUACCCCAAGGCCGAGAUCCAGGGUUCCCCCAACCACAUGGCGAUGAACCAACCGACAGAGGGGGAGGGAAACACCAGAAUCACGAGGGGGCGCGGUGGCUGCAAGCGGCUUCCAGAGUUCUCCAUUCUAUAAUACCAGGAAGGGAAAGUAGUUGAUACAUAGAGCUAAGGGCAUCUCCAUCGCGGAACCUCAAAACGCUCGCCAUCCAAUGUAGUAAAUCAUCAGUCCAUGGACGCGUCGGGUUAUCUAAAAUCCCAAAACCAGACGCAAACCAGUGGGAUCUUUGCGGGCUCUGUAUCGCAACCACGUACUUGUCCGAAACCCUGGUGCCACCCAAAAACAUCUCCCCUUUCACCUGCGCAACCCCACCUCCAAUCCAUGUAAUGCGUUCAUAUCGGUCCAGAGCAGAUGCGACCUCUCACUGGAGCCAGUAUUGAAGCGGUGCGCCGGCCGAGAGCGACGCCCGCGCCAUUCUCGAUCUCUGCACCUAUUCAAUGCUGGAGAGGUGUGACUGGAAGCGACGGCUAUCCAACGCAUUCAAAUAGGUUGCCCGCCCAACAUUAAAUAGGCGUGCCGACCGAGAAAGCCACUCCGGAGCCGGCAUUGACACAACUCGCCACUUGAGCUGGCAGGCACCCGCUAUUUAAGUGUGGCCACAGCCGACACGAUCCGCAGUGCACCACGUCGGCUUCCGAUCCUCCCUGUGUGCACCACCAUGAUUAUGAUCUCUAGAGCGACGUGGGAGAGCGUCUCGAUGGAGCGGAAGCACGAGUUGGUUAGUCUUGUGGCCAGUUGGCAGGCCCAUCAUGCACGGCGGAUAGAGGCCGGCUUGGCGGUGAGCUCGCCGGAGGUGAGCGACGAUGACCCGACAAUGGAGGAAGUAUCCGAGGAUGAGUCGGUGCCCCACCCGCACCGGUCCAUGCUGGCUUCACCAUGGAGUAGGCCCAAUUGCACUUCAAUGUCAUCAUCGCGGAGGUGCAGCCGGUGUCCAUCCGGCUGGUGCAGGACGAGCAACACUACAACCUCGCCUCCUCGUACCUCAUCGGUUGAUGGAGUGCCAAAUCUACAGCGAGUUCGCGAGCGCGGAGGCUGUGGCGUUCAUGGCCGCGAAGGAACCGAACUUCGUCGAGGAGUAGCAGGUGCUCUACGAGGCCACGUGAAGCGCUCACACUGGCCGCAACGCGAUCACGGCGGAGCUGGAUGCGCAGGCGGCGCUGGUGCCACAGAAGAUCGCUGAAGGGUACAUCGGUAGCUCCAUGUCGUUUGCGCCGCCCGCACGGUUCGCGCCGGGCCACAAGGAGCACCAGGCCGACCCAUCCACGUCUAUCGUGAGUCUCACCCCAACUGGCGACGUUUAGGCCGUGGACUCCGACGAGGAAGAGUUGGACAUGGGAGACAGAUACGCCUCGUGUCCCAUGUCUUACUCUUUCUCGUCGGCGACCCGCAUCUUCACUUCCAGAUGCUCACGGCCGGCAUACGCAGGACAUGUGGAACACUAAGGACUUGGAAGACGGAUGCCAGCGAAGAUUUGGACUCGGUUAACUUCAUGACACUUUUGAUUAACGAACUAUGUCGAAAAUGUAAUGAAUGUAUUCCGGUUUACAUGGAAAAUCAUCCAGCUUGCAAACAAAUCAUCUGUUUUUGUUCAAACUACGAGUGAAAUGUGUCCAGACCGAUGGUGUAUACUAUAUGAUUGGAUGGCCAAGUCCCGUAUCAUGCAUCCGCAGACGAAUAAUGUGUCUAUUUCCGUUUUGGGGAUAGAGAUGCCCUAAGCAAAGUAGUGUGUCCAUCCUCCGACCGACGUCAUCUCAUUCCAUAGCCUUCGCCUCUAUAUAAGCUCUGCCCCUCUCCCCUCCCCUUUGCACCAUCGAUCACCACUGCCGAUCGCUGGCUCGCUAGUCAAGUGAAGUUGGAAUAGCUAGGUAGCUAGCUAGCAAGCAUGAGUGGCGUGUGGGUGUUUGAGGGCGGGAUGGUGAGGCGGGCGGACAGCGAGGCGCCGGGCACGGGCGGGGCGGCGCGGCCGGGCAAGGUGCUGGUGCAUGUGCCGAGCGGCGAGGUGGUGACCUCGUACGAGGUUCUGGAGCGGCGGCUGCGGGAGCUGGGGUGGGAGCGCUACCUCAACGACCCCUGCCUCCUCCAGUUCCACCAGCGCUCCACGGUGCACCUCAUCUCCGUCCCGCGCGACUUCGCCCGCCUCAAGCUCGUCCACAUGCACGACGUCGUCGUCAAGACCCGCAACGUCUUCCAGGUCCGCGACGCCUGAGUAGCUUCAGCUGGCAUGCAUGCUUUGUGUAAUCUACCACCGUACCGUAUGUUCGUGUUGCAUGUGUUCGAUCGAAUUGCGAGGGAGUAUAUGUAAUAGCGCGUGCGUGUGGCUUGCCGUUCUGCAUGGGUGUAUAUCUCAAUAAGGCUCCGUCAACAGGGGACUCCGGCCUACUCGUUUGGGACUUUGGGUUGUUUGAACUGUUUCUUCGGUUUUGCUAUUUCUGAGGUGCUUGAAAUUUUGUUUUGCAUCAGUUAAUUUUCUCCCUCUUCCUGCCCUCUUGGCCGGACCUCGUAGGAGAAGAACUAGCCCCACCAUCCAUAUAAAGUGAAGCCACGGUCCCAUUAUCUAUAUUAGGGGGAAGCCGCAACUCCAUUAUCUAUCUUAGUGGCGGGGGUGGGGGAAUUGCAUGGGAUCGUUUGAAGGUUUUCAUCUGUGGUGCCGGGAUUACAGGGAUGCCGGGGCGGUGACCAGCAAUCGCAGUGGGGGGAGGUUCUGGGGAGGGUGGGGCGGUGUGGCGGUGCGCGUUAGCGCCCACCGGCCGCGGGGGUGGAUGCUGGCGACAGUUGAUGGAUCAGAUCGUGGCUCGAGGAAGAAAGUGAUUAAGAGGAAGAAGAUGACCUGUGAGCCGUUAGAUACAGGUCGGACGGUCAUGAAACAAGGUGACUGAUGCAAACAGUUUUUUCAGGCAUCUAAUGAUUAGACUCUCCCUUGUUUCUUUCCGCCCGUCAUCAAAUUACCCUUCAAUUUGUCAAAUAUUACCCCUCACCGCCAAUGGUAAGUGAAGAGAUGGGAACGUGAAGUUUCUACACCCGGGCUCAAAUGCUCCUGGUGUGAAGAGUAAAAUUCAAAAAAUAGAAAAUAAAAUCAAAAAAUUCUGAAAUGUUUGUUGUGCAUGCAAAGUUUCGUCACGAAAUCACAUUGGUGGAAGAUAAAAAAACAAAAACAGAAUCGACGCUCUAGUGCGCGGGAGGAAGUUCCUAUCUUCUGCCUGACCCAGUAAAACUUGACCGGAUGGCGAAGAAGCAAAAGCGGAGGGAUGGGGCCACUGGUGCACGGGAGGAGGUUGCCGAGCGGGAGGCUCCAGGGGCAGCCGCAGCCGCUGCUGAUUCUGCCACGCCAAGGAAGAGCAGGCGACGGGUCGGCGGCGCCAGGCCAUGUAUGCGCCACAAGCGCUAGGUCGACUGGAUCGGAGCAUGCGUCGCAAGAGAAGCAGCUCGACCACCAUUGUUGGGCAAGUCAGCUGGUUGGCCAUAGCAGAGAGAGUGGUGUUGCUCGAUGGGCGAGGUCGGCGAAUGGUGCGGCGACGCUGGCUGGCCGGCUAAGCUGAUGACAACGCAAGCAUUGGGUGCUCAACUGAUACGCAUUCGUCUAUCAGGUAUUCUUAAUUCUUUGUAAAUAAAAGUACAGAUCCGGAGGUGGUGUUACUUCAAUCCAAAACGUGCUGACAAUUUUCUAUGAAGCUUUAUUUGGUAGUGUGCUGAAUAUUUUGUGUGAAGAUAUCGUAUGUUAUUGAAAUUUGGAUACUUACAAUUACAUGAGUGAAACCCUUUCUACUGGAACAUCAACUUCUGUUUGAACUGAUUUUUAUACUCCCCAACAACAAGAUCAAACUGUCGUAUGACUUCUCUGAAAUUAUGCAACUUAUUUGUUUCUAAUCCUAUGUCAGCAGAAUUCAUCUAAGGUGCUUCGAAGGAAGAAGGCAUCGUUGUCAGCAAUGAUAAGACUCACCUGACGCGUGGGUAGGAUAGCCCGAUUGAGAAGUUUUUGAUGCUUGAACAUCUAGAUAUUUAAAACUUGCAGAUGUCUCAUACGAUGGCUCCACAAGAACCUUCUCCUUUCUAUCGGUUCCUAAAAAAUAUACCCCCCCAUGUGUGUGGAGUGUGUUGUAGUUCUCCACAGAAAUAGAAACAAUAUUUUUUAUGAGACAGGAGAUGAAGAGCUCGGUGAGCACGACCCAACAUCCUGAUUCCUGUGCCUUGACUUUGAAUGCGCCUGCAAUCUCCGACCAAGAAUGUUCCUUUUCAUGGAGCCCGCCGGGGGUGUGGAUACGGAUGAGGAAGACGAGGUCAGCAGUGCGUUAGCAAAACGCAGAUGGACAGAUCCUUGGGUGGAGAUCAUGCUGUAAUGGUGUGUAUUCUGGCGUGGAAAAGUCUUUGCAUGCACAAAGGUCUGUUCUAAUAAAUGACAUUAGUAUUCAAUCAAUCUUGUGUGUUGAUCAUCGGGCACAGGUAGGGAUCAAAUCCGUUUAGAGCAACUCUAGUCGAUCCCUAAAAAAUAAAGGAAUAUUCGGCCGAGUAAAUCUUAAUGGAGUAUUUUUACUCCAAUAGUUCUAUUGGUCAGACCUAUGGGCAUUUUUAACCGAUCCCUUAUAACCGUCUAGAGGAGUAAAAAUGCGGUUUACUUCUUUAAGAGCAUCUCAAUUGAAGAUGAAAAUUUGGAGAUGUAAAACAAGAGAUGUAAAAAAUUUACAUCUUCAAAAAAGUGUUGACUCCAACCGAAGAUGUAUAUUGGAGAUAUAAAAGAGAAGCUCCAACAGAAGAUGCUAACUGAAGAUGUAAAAUCCGCGGGUUGGGUAGCCGUUCAGCGGCGCGGGUGCGGGCGGCGGCGACGGCUCGGCACAGGAGAUGGCCGCAACUCGGUAGAGAAGAAGGCAGGAGCUCGACACUGGGGCGGCGACUUCACGCGGCCGGAAGAACGGUCGAGCCGGAUGGCCGUCGGGCGGCUGGUGUGGCGCGCCUCCCCUACCUUCGGUGGUGGGGCGGGGUCUUUGUUAGGAAGAAGCCUCGCCCAUCCAUCACCUCGCCGUGGAAGGCAUUACGCCAGCCGAACCGCCGGACAAGCUUCGAUUCGAAGUGGUGGCCAAAAGAGAAUCAGCGGUUGCAGGCGGCGGCCUAGCGAGGCAGGCGGCGGGGGAGAGGGGACGAAGUCGCGGCGGGGCUGGCGGCGGCGAUUUUGGGCGAAUUCGGCCGGCCGCGGAAUUGGGCGGGUGGCGGCCGGUCCCACGGAAGUGAAGUGAACGACAGUUGGUGGAUUGGCGGGCGGUUGCAUUUCUACAUCUCCAUGUUGUGGAGAUGCAAAUUUGCAACUCGAAGUGUUGUAUUUUACAUCUUCGGGCGGCGGAGAUGUAAUUUUUUUGCAUCUACAUCAUCUGCUGAAGAGGUGUUUUUAGGCCUCGGAGAUGCAAAAAGUUGUUACUUUUGCAUCUACAUCUUCUAUUGGAGAUGCUCUAACCGACACCUAGCCGAUUCCUUAUCCGUCGUAAAAGAGUAGAAUUUUAACUCCAUCCCAUAAUUCUCCCUAUAUUUACUCCACCGCACGUGCAGCGGUUGAGUAAAAAACCACGCCUCUCUUCCACUGUCUCCCCAUCCCAUCCCGUGCCGCAUCUGUGCCAGCGCCGCCCCUCCACCUCCCCCUCGUCGGCACCCGCCCGCCACCGUGGAAGCUCCGUAGCUGUCCUCUACUACUUCAAUUUGUGCCUCCUCGUCCCGUCACCGGCGAAAAAGAGGUGGAUCUGCCGUAGCUCCCACCGCCACUAGAUUUGGCAUUUCCGGACGCUAGAGGCUGCGUCUUGCCAUGGAUUGGCCGGGAAGUGGACCACACAGCCCCGACAAUGCCUCCACGCUGCAUGUAGGUACGGGCUCCUCCUCUAGCCACUCAAAUCUCUCCCGCCGGAGGUUUGCCGGCACAUACACGCCUGGUCAUCGCCCGGGCUCGGCGCUGGCGCAGUGGCUCGCCAGCUUGCCGCUGCAGGACAUACAGUGUGACGACUACACGCGGCAAGUGGUGCGCCAAGUUUCUACCACACCACAACAUCCUGGAUGGGUGUUCUUCAAAUGCAAAAAUGAUGGGGUAUGUGCUUGUUUUGAUUCGGUUGUUCACCGGAUCCAACGCAAUUUUGGUAGCUCAUUCUUUGCUCAUCUAUGUGUGUAGGAUGAUGGGUGCAAGUUUUGGUAUCGGGAAGAAGAAUAUAUCGAUCUAUUGAUAGUUCGAAAAUUAAUAGAUGUUCGUGCACUCGUUGCUAGAAUACAGACUAGAUAUGAUAUUAGAGAUGAAAUUAGAUGUGAAGCAACAUCUACUUCUUUAUAAUCAAAGAAGAAAGAAGUGUUGAAACUCCAGAAGCCACAUAUCAACAAUGAAGACAUAGAGAAAUUAUUAAUCCAACUAGUGGAGAAGUUAGGGGAGUUGGAUAUCUUCUAAAAUGUCUAAUUGUGGUUCUUGUUUUCUUUGGUCUUCUCGUAGCAAAGAAUUGGUAAUUAUUAUGUACUCCAAUGUCGUUGAAUGAAAUAAGAAGCAUAGUAAUGUGUUUCGGUGGCCGAAAAUGAAAUGCAAAUGAUUUUUUUUCUCCGUUAACAUUAGGGGAUCGGAUAGUCCAGCGAAAUUUCAGUGGUGUAUAUAUACUCAACUAAGGUAUACUAGGCCAUUUACUCCCUUAACUUUUAGGGGAUCGGUUAGAAAUACCCUAACCGAUCCUCUAACUAUAACGGAGUAUAUUUUUUUUCAACUUGUGCAAUUAUAUUUACAUUUCAACUACAUAUUAGCACACAUAUAGAAACUAAACAUAAAUAUGAAGGUUCAAGCAAAUCACAAAUAUAGUUUAUAAUCCGAAUUCAAAGUUUACAAACCGAGUUAUUCAAAUUUAAACACACUGAAUGGUUCAAAUGUAGCAAAUAACAUAUCAAAACACAACUAGAAAGUGCUAUGAAGUUGCCAGUGAUGCUGAACAGGAUCUUGUUGGAGCUGGUUAUGAACUUGUCGGCUCUCAAUCCUAUGAUGCGCUUCAAGGAAUGACUGGAUCCUAUUUGGAUCAUACUCUGGCUCAAUAGUAGUCCCAUUGUACCAAAAGUUCUCAGGAAUAUCUCUCUCAUGUCCAAUGAUCAUGUUAUGCAAAAUGAUGCAACAAGUCAUGAUUUGCCAUAGAACCUUGGAGGUCCAGUACUCGGCAUGACCACGAACAUUGGCAAAGCGCUUAUGGAGCACACCGAAGGCUCUCUUCACAUAUUUCCAAGCCGCUUCUUGAUGUUGGGCAAAGUGAAUAUUUCUGUUACCUUUUGGACCCGGAAUUGUUUUGACUAGUCUGGCCCAUGGGGGAUAGAUGCCAUCUGCAAGGUAGUAACCCAUCAUGUAGUUGUGCCCAUAGAUUGUAUAGUUACAAGGAGGAUCAUCUCCUGAAAUGAGCCUAGCAAAAAGUGGAGAUCACGACACAGUACAUUCAGGUCAUCGGCCGAACACCCAUUUGCUAAAACUUAAACAGCCGCAAUUCAGUGGGCUUGCACUUAUCUCUCUGCAUGCAUUCCUUCUAAGCUUGAACCAAUCAUCAUACUUCUCAACGGCUUUUGCAAUGGUGAGGAAAAGACUUGUGUGCAUCCGAAAGCGCCAACGAAAGUACUUCUCUAGAUAGGUUGGGUUUAGAUCAAAGAAUCUCUCAUGAUCCUGGCACAACCCUUCGCUCUAUCACGGUUGAGUUGUAUGCUGACAAACUGCGAUGCUCUCCUCAGCCGCCGAAUAUCAUCACUGAAAAUCAUGCCAAGAACAGUUUCAAAGUCUUCUUCAUCUUCUUCCACUUCGGAUGACGAUGAGUCCUCGAAGAUCAUUUUUCUCAACGUCUUCAUCUUCAAUUCAAACGACUCGGUCCAAUUUGAUUGUACAAAACGAAAUGACACGAAAGAAAAAAUAAUCAAAAAUACUCACCUAGGAAAACCGUCGAACACUUGUAAGGCGGCGGUGGUGCACUAGCCGACCAACAAUGUUUAUGCCAAACGAGCGGGCGGCGGUGUGUGGGAAUGACCUGCAAUCGUGUGUAAGCACCAUCGAAUGUGGAGGCCGCCAACGAGGAAGGACAUUUGAGAGCAAUCCGGCAAAACGUUUAAGGCGACGAGCGACGGCGGCGGCAUUCCACCUUGAUUCCGGCGACAAUGACGGUCGGGAAAGGGCUCGGAUUCAGGUAAAAGGGUAGCGAGGGCCAAGGGAGGCGACGAUGUAGCGGCGGGGGAGGUGUACGGUUGCUGGGAAGUGCGCUGGGGAAGUGGCAGUUGGGGUGGGGAGGCGUGAGAGAGGAUAGAAAUUUUACUCCGCGCGGUCACAAACCUUGCUUAUUUAGGCACCGAAUAGGAGGCGGAGCAAAAAAGUUACUCCACUAUUCGGUUUAGGGGAUCGGCUAGGUGUCGGUUAGAGGAGUAAAAUGAAAACAUUACUCCUCUAUAGCCAUUUAGGGGACGGCUAGAGUUACUCUUAGCUGGUACCCCCAUGUCGCCCGCUCUGGCAACUCGGGCAUGACUCUCAGUGCCGCCGCAUAGCUUCCCCCUCCCCUCCCCUCCCUAGCUGUCGUCUGAGGCUGGCACCGGGAAUUAUCGAGCUGUGGCCAAGGAAGGUGGCGGCGGGGCCCAUUUUGCUCCGCCCCAGUGAACCUCGGCUUGGCGUGGUUGUUGUGGCGGCCAGUGAUGCUGCAUUUGGUCGCUUCCUCCUCUGCCCUGCUCAGUGUGCUCCCAGUAUAGCCUUGGCCCGUGUUAUUGGCUGCAGGUCAUGGUUUGUGUUAGGGUAGUUCAUAUUGACAUGUCAAGCCAAGAUUGAGCACAUGCCUUCACAAGAUUCCCUCCCAUCGACUUGAAGUGCUAGAGUAGCACUCUGAGUCCUGAACCUUCGUGCUAGACCAUUAUGUUUGUGAAGGAAGUGCCACAUAAAAAUUAUGUAUUGGGUAUUAUAUCAUCACACCAACCAUGGUAAAUUCUUCUUGGUUUGUCUUAGGGUAGGUCAUACACAUGUCAAACCAAGAUUGAGCACACGCCUUCAUAAGAUUCCCUCUCACCGGCUCGAAGUUCGAGAGUAGCACUCUAAGUCCUGAACCUUCGUGUCGGAAUGUCUCGUAGGUCACAGGGCUUUUCUGGUUGUCCCGUAACAACUUUUAAAACACACAAAUAGGAUAGUCCAGACGGAGUCAAACUUUUGAAGAAACCCUAGGGGUAGAUGUUAAAGGGCUUACCGAACAAGGAAUUCAUGAAAUCACAUUAAGGGUCGGAACAAGUUAUUCUUUUGCAUGUGGUCCUAAUAUGGGUACACUAGGGGGGUUUGAAUAGUACACUACUAGGGAAAACCUUAUAGGUGGAGGCUUAUCAGUAGCACGGGUCAGAAGCACGCGCUACUGAUACGUCCAUUUUGCAUCAUGCUUUUAUAUCGAUAUUUAUAGCAUUAUGGGCUGUUAUUACACGUUAUGCCACAAUACUUAUGCCUAUUCUCUCUUAUUUUACAACGUUUACAUGAAGAGGGAGAAUGCCGGCAGCUGGGAUUCUGGGCUGGAAAAGGGCAAAUAUUAGAGACCUAUUCUGCACAGCUCCAAAAGUCCUGAAACUUCACGGAAGUCAUUUUUGGAAUUAAUAAAAAAUAUUAGGCAAAGAAAAUAUCAGAGGGGGCCCACACCCUGACCACGAGGGUGGGAGGCGCGCCCUACCCCCUGGGCGUGCCCCCUGCCUCGUGGGCCCCUGGCAGGUCUCUGGUGCCCAUCUUCUGCUAUAUGAAGUCUUUCGUCUGAGAAAAAAAAUCAUAAACAAGCUUUCGGGAAGAAACUCCGCUGCCACGAGGCGGAACCAAUCUAGGGCUCCGGCGGAGCUGUUCGGCCGGGGAAACUUCCCUCCGGGAGGGGGAAAUCAUCACCAUCGUCAUCACCAACGAUCCUAUCAUCGGGAGGGGCCCAAUCUUCAUCAACAUCUUCACCAGCACCAUCUCCUCUCAAACCCUAGUUCAUCUCUUGUAUCCAAUCUUUGUCCCAAAGCCUCAGAUUGGUACUGCUACAUCUUGAGCACUGCGUUGGUUUUCCCUUGAAGAGGAGAGGGUGAUGCAGCAAAGUAGCGUAAGUAUUUCCCUCAGUUUUUGAGAACCAAGGUAUCAAUCCAGUAGGAUGCCACGCACGAGUCCCUCGCACCUACACAAACAAAUAAAUCCUUGCAACCAACGCGAUAAGGGGUUGUCAAUCCCUACACGGUCACUUGCGAGAGUGAGAUCUGAUAAGAUAAUAUUUUUGGUAUUUUUAUGAUAAAGAUGGAAAGUAAAGAAAACAAAAUAAAAACGGCGCCAGAAAUAGCUUGUUGUCGGGAGAUUAAUAUGAUGGAAAAUAGACCCGGGGGCCAUAGGUUUCACUAGUGGCUUCUCUCAUGAGCAUAAAUAUUACGGUGGGUGAACAAAUUACUGUUGAGCAAUUGAUAGAAUUGAGCAUAGUUAUGAGAAUAUCUAGGUAUGAUCAUGUAUAUAGGCAUCACGUCCGAGACAAGUAGACCGACUCCUGCCUGCAUCUACUACUAUUACUCCACACAUCGACCGCUAUCCAGCAUGCAUCUAGAGUAUUAAGUUCAUAAGAACAGAGUAACGCUUUAAGUAAGAUGACAUGAUGUGGAGGGAUAAACUCAUGCAAUAUGAUAUAAACCCCAUCUUGUUAUCCUCGAUGGCAACAAUACAAUACGUGCCUUGCUGCCCCUACUGUCACCGGGAAAGGACACCGCAAGAUUGAACCCAAAGCUAAGCACUUCUCCCAUUGGAAGAAAGAUCAAUCUAGUAGGCCAAACCAAACUGAUAAUUCGAAGAGACUUGCAAAGAUAACCAAUCAUACAUAAAAGAAUUCAGAGAAGAUUCAAAUAUUGUUCAUAGAUAAACUUGAUCAUAAACCCACAAUUCAUCGGUCUCAACAAACACACCACAAAAGAAGAUUACAUCGAAUAGAUCUCCACGAGAGAGGGGGAGAACAUUGUAUUGAGAUCAAAAAAGAGAGAAGAAGCCAUCUAGCUAAUAACUAUGGAUCCGAAGGUCUGAGGUAAACUACUCACACAUCAUCGGAGAGGCUAUGGUGUUGAUGUAGAAGCCCUCCGUGAUCGAGGCCCCCUCCGGCGGAGCUCCGGAACAGGCCCCAAGAUGGGAUCUCACGGGUACAGAAGGUUGCGGCGGUGGAAUUAGGUUUUUGGCUCCGUAUCUGGUAGUUUGGGGGUACGUAGGUAUAUAUGGGAGGAACAAGUACGUCGGUGGAGCAACGUGGGGCCCACGAGGGUGGAGGCCGCGCCCAUGGGGGGUAGGCGCACCCCCUACCUCGUGCCCUCCUGGUUGAUGUCUUGACGUAGGGUCCAAGUCCUCUGGAUCACGUUCGUUCCGAAAAUCACGCUCCCGAAGGUUUCAUUCCGUUUGGACUCCGUUUGAUAUUCUUUUUCUGCGAAACUCUGAAAUAGGCAAAAUCAGCAAUUCUGGGCUGGGCCUCCGGUUAAUAGGUUAGUCCCAAAAAUAAUAUAAAAGUGUAUAAUAAAGCCCAAUAAUUUCCAAAACAGAAUAUAAUAUAGCAUGGAACAAUAAAAAAUUAUAGAUACGUUGGAGACGUAUCAGGUACCUGUGGGUUGCUAGUAGUGUUGAUUACUCCUUGUAGUUGAUGCUAGUUGGUUUAUUUGGUGGAAGAUCAUAUGUUCAGAUCCAUUAUGCAUAUUAAUACCCCUCUGAUUAUGAACAUGAAUACGCUUUGUGAGUAGUUACCUUUGUUCCUGAGGACAUGGGAGAAGUCUUGCUAUAAUUAGUCAUGUGAAUUUGGUAUUCGUUCGAUAUUUUGAUAAGAUGUAUGUUAUCUUUCCUCUAUGGUGUUAUGUGAACAUCGACUACCUGACACUUCAGCAUUAUUUGGGCCUAGAGGAAGGCAUUGGGAAGUAAUAAGUAGAUGAUGGGUUGCUAGAGUGACAGAAGCUUAAACCCUAGUUUAUGCGUUGCUUCGUAAGGGGCUGAUUUGGAUCCAUAUGUUUCAUGCUAUGGUUAGGUUUACCUUAAUACUUCUUUUAUAGUUGCGGAUGCUUGCAAUAGGAGUUAAUCAUAAGUGGGAUGCUUGUCCAAGUAAGGAAAUAACCCAAGCACCGGUCCACCCACAUAUCAAAUUACCAAAGUACCGAACGCGAAUCAUAUGAGCGUGAUGAAAACUAGCUUGACGAUAAUUCCCAUGUGUCCUCGGGAGCGUUUUCCUUCAUAUAAGAGUUUGCCCAGGCUUGUCCUUUGCUACAAAAAGGAUUGGGCCAUCUUGCUGCACUUUUUUUACACUUGUUACUUGUUACUCGUUACAAAUUACCUUAUCAUAAAACUAUCUGUUACCUAUAAUUUCCGUGCUUGCGGAGAAUACCUUGCUGAAAACCGCUUGUCAUUUCCUUCUGCUCCUCGUUGGGUUCGACACUCUUGCUUAUCGAAAGGACUAGAUAGAUCCCCUAUACUUGUGGGUCAUCAAGACUCUUUUAUGGUGCCGUUGCCGGGGAGUGAAGCGCCUUUGGUAAGUGGAAUUUGGUAAGGAAAAAUUUAUAUAGUGUGUUGAAAUUUACUGUCACUUGCUACUAUGGAAAGUAAUCCUUUGAGGGGCUUGUUCGGGGUAUCUUCACCCCGACCAGUAGAGCAAAUAGUUUUUCCUCAACCUACUGAACCUACUAAAAAGUUUUACUUUGAAAUUCCUUCGGGUAUGAUAGAGAAACUGCUAGCUAAUCCUUUUGCAGGAGAUGGAACAUUGCAUCCCGAUUUACACCUAAUCUAUGUGGAUGAAGUUUGUGGAUUAUUUAAGCUUGCAGGUAUGCCCGAUGAUGUUAUCAAGAAGAAGGUCUUCCCUUUAUCUUUUAAGGGAGAGGCAUUGACAUGGUAUAGGCUAUGUGAUGAUAUGGGAUCAUGGAACUACAAACGAUUGAAAUUGGAAUUUCAUCAGAAGUUUUAUCCUAUGCAUCUUGUUCAUCGUGAUCGUAAUUAUAUAUAUAAUUUUUGGCCUCGCGAAGGAGAAAGCAUCGCUCAAGCUUGGGGGAGGCUUAAUUCAAUGUUAUAUUCAUGCCCUGAUCAUGAGCUCUCAAGAGAAAUGAUUAUUCAAAAUUUCUAUGCUCGGCUUUCUCUCAAUAAUCGCUCCAUGCUCGAUACUUCUUGUACUGGCUCUUUUAUGAUGAAGACUAUUGAAUUCAAAUGGGAUUUAUUGGAAAGAAUUAAACGCAACUCUGAAGAUUGGGAUCUCGACGAAGGUAAAGAGUCAGGUAUAAUACCUAAGUUUGAUUGUGUUCAAUCUUUUAUGGAUACCGAUGCUUUCCGUGAAUUUAGCACUAAAUAUGGACUUGACUCUGAGAUAGUAGUUUCUUUCUGCGAAUCCUUUGCUACUCAUGUUGAUCUCCCUAAGGAGAAGUGGUUUAAAUAUAAUCCUCCCAUUGAAGUAAAAGUAGUUGCACCUAUUAAAGUUGAAGAAAAGACUAUCACUUACAAUCAUCCUAUUGUUCCUACUGCUUAUGUUGAGAAACCACCUUUCCCUGUUAGAAUAAAGGAUCAUGCUAAGGCUUCAACUGUUGUCAACUAAAGUAAUAUUAGGACACACAAACCCCCUGAGCAAGUUAAAUUUGAACCUAAUAUUGCUAUGGUUAAAGAUCUCUUGGCGGAUAAUAUUGAUGUGCAUGUUAUUUAUUUCUGUGAGGAAAUUGCUAGAAUUGCUAAGCCUGGUGCUAAAGAUAAACAUAAACCUGUUGUAGGCAUGCCUGUUAUUUCUGUUAAAAUAGGAGAUCAUAAUUAUCAUGGCUUAUGUGAUAUGGGUGCUAGUGCUAGUGCAAUACCUCAUACCUUAUACAAAGAAAUUAUGCAUGAUAUUGCACCUGCUGAGAUAGAAGAUAUAGAUGUUACAAUUAAACUUGCCAAUAGAGAUACUAUUUCACCGGUUGGGAUUGUUAGAGAUGUUGAAGUAUUGUGUGGGAAGGUUAAAUAUCCUGCUGAUUUUCUUGUUCUUGGUUCCCCACAAGAUAGCUUUUGUCCCAUUAUAUUUGGUAGACCCUUCUUGAACACUGUUAAUGCUAGGAUAGACUGCGAAAAGGAUGUUGUUACUAUUGGUUUGGGUGAUAUGUCUCAUGAGUUUAUUUUUUCUAAAUUUCAUAGACAACCCCGUGAUGAGGAAUUGCCUAGUAAGGAUGAAAUUAUUGGUCUUGCUUCUAUUGCCGUGCCUCCUAAUGAUCCUUUAGAACAGUAUUUGCUUGAUCAUGAAAAUGAUAUGUUUAUGAAUGAAAGAAGGGAAAUAGAUGAAGCAUUCUUUAAACAGGGACCUAUUCUGAAACACAACUUGCCUGUUGAAAUCCUAGGGGAUCCUCCUCCACCCAAGGGUGAUCCCGUGUUUGAGCCUAAACCAUUGCCUGAUACUCUUAAAUAUGUUUAUCUUGAUGAAAAGAAGAUAUAUCCUGUUAUUAUUAGUGCUAACCUUUCAGAGCAUGAAGAAGAGAAAUUAUUGAAAACUCUGAAGAAGCACCGUGCUGCUAUUGGAUAUACUCUUGAUGAUCUUAAGGGCAUUAGUCCCACUCUAUGUCAACACAAAAUAAAUUUGGAGAAAGACGCCAAACCAGUUAUUGAUCAUCAACGACGAUUAAAUCCUAAGAUGAAAGAAGUGGUAAGAAAGGAAAUAUUAAAGCUCCUUGAAGCAGGUAUAAUUUAUCCAGUUGCUGAUAGUCAGUGGGUAAGUCCUGUUCAUUGUGUCCCUAAGAAGGGAGGUAUUACCGUCGUUCCUAAUGAUAAAGAUGAAUUAACCCCGCAAAGAAUUAUUACAGGUUAUAGGAUGGUAAUUGAUUUUUGCAAAUUAAAUAAAGCUACUAAAAAAGAUCAUUACCCUUUGCCUUUCAUUGAUCAAAUGCUAGAAAGAUUAUCCAAACAUACACAUUUUUGCUUUCUAGAUGGUUACUCUGGUUUCUCUCAAAUACGUGUGUCAGCUGAUUAUCAAGAAAAGACCACUUUUACUUGCCCUUUCGGUACCUUUGCUUAUAGACGUAUGCCUUUUGGUUCAUGUAAUGCACCUGCUACCUUCCAAAGAUGCAUGAUGGCUAUAUUCUCUGACUUUUGUGAAAAGAUUUGUGAGGUUUUCAUGGACGAUUUCUCCGUUUAUGGUUCCUCUUUUGAUGAUUGCUUGAGCAACCUUGAUUGAGUUUUGCAGAGAUGUGAAGAAACUAAUCUUGUCUUGAACUGGGAGAAGUGCCACUUUAUGGUUAAUGAAGGUAUUGUCUUGGGGCAUAAAAUUUCUGAAAGAGGUAUUGAAGUUGAUAAAGCUAAAGUUGAUGCUAUUGAAAAGAUGCCGUGUCCCAAGGACAUCAAAGGUAUAAGAAGUUUCCUUGGUCAUGCCGGUUUUUAUAGGAGGUUCAUUAAGGACUUUUCAAAAAUUUCUCGGCCUCUGACUAAUCUAUUACAAAAAGAUAUACCUUUUGUCUUUGAUGAUGAUUGUGUAGAAGCAUUUGAAAUACUUAAUAAAGCAUAAAUUUCUGCACCUAUUGUUCAGCCACCUGAUUGGAAUUUACACUCUGAAAUUAUGUGUGAUGCUAGUGAUUAUGCUGUAGGUGCUGUUCUAGGACAAAGAGUUGAUAAGAAAUUAAAUGUUUUUCAAUAUGCUAGUAAAACUCUACACAGUGCCCAGAGAAACUAUGCUACUACCGAAAAAGAAUUCUUAGCAGUUGUAUUUGCUUGUGAUAAGUUCAGACCUUAUAUUGUUUAUUCUAAAGUAACUAUUCACACUGAUCAUGCUGCUAUUAAGUAUCUUAUGGAAAAGAAAGAUGCUAAACCUAGACUUAUUAGAUGGGUUCUUUUGCUACAAGAAUUUGAUUAUCUUAUUAUUGAUAGAAAGGGAGCUAAGAACCCACUUGCACACAAUUUGUCCAGGUUAGAGAAUGUUCUUGAUGACCCACUACCUAUUGAUGAUAGCUUUCCUGAUGAACAAUUAAAUGCCAUAAAUGCUUCUCGUACUGCUCCAUGGUAUGCUGAUUAUGCUAAUUACAUUGUUGCUAAAUUUAUACCACCUAGUUUCACAUACCAGCAAAAGAAAAAGUUUUUCUAUGAUUUGAGGCAUUACUUCUGGGAUGACCCACACCUUUAUAAAGAAGGAGUAGAUGGUGUUAUUAGACGUUGUAUACCUGAGCAUGAACAGGAACAGAUCCUGCGCAAGUGUCACUCCGAAGCUUAUGGAGGACACCACGCUGGAGAUAGAACUGCACAUAAGGUAUUGCAAUCCGAUUUUUAUUGGCCUUCUCUCUUCAAGGAUGCUCGUAAGUUUGUCUUAUCUUGUGAUGAAUGUCAAAGGAUUGGUAACAUUAGUAAACGUCAGGAAAUGCCUAUGAACUAUUCACUUGUUAUUGAACCAUUCGAUGUUUGGGGCUUUGAUUAUAUGGGACUGUUUCCUUCCUCUAAUGGGUAUACACAUAUUUAGUUGCUGUUGAUUACGUUACUAACUGGGUAGAAGCUAUUCAACUAGUAGUGCUGAUCAUAACACCUAUAUUAAGAUGCUUAAAGAAGUUAUUUUUCCAAGGUUUGGAGUCUCUAGAUAUUUAAUGACUGAUGGUGGUUCACAUUUUAUUCAUGGUGCUUUCCCUAAAAUGCUUGCAAAGUAUGAUGUUAAUCAUAGAAUUGCAUCUCCUUAUCACCCACAGUCUAGUGGUCAAGUGGAAUUGAGCAAUAGAGAGCUCAAAUUAAUUUUGCAAAAGACUGUUAAUAGAUCUAGAAAGAAUUGGUCCAAGAAACUUGAUGAUGCAUUAUGGGCCUAUAGAACUGCAUAUAAAAAUCCUAUGGGUAUGUCCCCGUAUAAAAUGGUUUACGGAAAAGCAUGUCACUUACCUCUCAAAUUGGAACAUAAGGCAUAUUGGGCCAUUAAAGAGCUCAAUUAUGAUUUCAAACUUGUCGGUGAAAAAAGGUUAUUUGACAUUAGCUCACUUGAUGAAUGGAGAACCCAGGCCUAUGAGAAUGCCAAACUCUUUAAAGAAAAAGCUAAAAGAUGGCAUGACAAAAGGAUACAAAAGCGUGAGUUUAAUGUAGGUGAUUAUGUGUUACUAUUCAACUCUCGUUUAAGAUUUUUUGCAGGAAAACUUCUCUCUAAAUGGGAAGGCCCUUACGUUAUCGAGGAGGUCUAUCGUUCCGGUGCCAUAAAAAUCAACAACUUCGAAGGCACAAAUCCGAAGGUGGUGAACGGUCAAAGAAUCAAACAUUAUAUCUCAGGUAUUCCUAUAAAUAUUGAAACUAAUAUUAUUGAAACCGUAACACCGGAGGAAUACAUAAGAGACACUUUCCAGAACGUUUCAGACUCCGAAAAGGAAUAGGUACGUGGUACGGUAAGUAAACCGACUCCAAAACAGUUCUAAUGGCAAUUUUUCUCCGUUUUGGAAUAUUUAAGAAAAUAGGAAAAUAAGAAGUAGUUCGGGAAGGACACGAGGCUUCCACGAGGGUGGAGGGCGCGCCCUACCCCCUGGGCGCGCCCCCUACCUCGUGGGCACCUCGUGCGCUCUCUGGACUCCGUUUUCUUGCACGAUACUUCUUUUGGUCGGUAAAAAUUCAUUAUAUAAACUCCCGAAGGUUUUGACCACCGUACCACGCAAUUAUCCUCUGUUCUUGUUUCGAGCUGUUUCUGCCGCAGAUUAGAGCAAGAUGUCUUCUCAAGAGUCAGUCGGGGAGAGUUGGGUGCUCAUCUGACACCAGGUACAGGGGCAAACCUUUGGGCCCUCAAUGGAGGAAGAGAUGGAAGCUGACUUGAAAAGGAUAGAUGCCAUGGAGGAGGAUCAAGAAGUUACUUCUCGUUUCCGGGUAGGAUUCACGAUGGGGGAACUAUAGAGCUCCGCUAUCCCAAACUCGGCCAUCCCCUCCAACGUUAAAUUUCUCUCUUAUGAAAAUAUGAAAAGGAGUGUUACUUGUUCUCCCGCAGCUAUGCAACAUCCAUGGGUGCAAGGAGCCUUAACCGUCACGGGUAAGCUUCGUAAGGAAAUAAUGGAUCUUAAGCGGCAAGUCAACAAGCUCGAGGAGGAGAAUCGUAUCCUAAGGGGUAUCAUAGCCAAGAAUAUCACAUCUUCAUCCCCAAAGAAGGAGACAUAAUCACAUGGGUAUGGGCACUCCCCUUGGCAACUGCCAAGAUUGGGGGAGGUGCCCCGCUAUCGUAUCACCAUCACACUCCUAUCUUUACCGUUUUUCUUAGUUCGAUCCUUUUGGUAAUAUCUUGAUCUAGUAGAAUAGAGUUUUAGUAUGAUUUAGUUUUGAGUUUUGCCUUAUGGUCCUUCUAUGUAAUCGAGUCCGUGAGCUAUAUAAUAAAGAUUAGUGUUGAGUCAAGGGCUUGAUUAUCUUGCUAUGAUCUUGAGUGAAUAAAAGAAAAAGAAAAAAAUAAUAAUAAAAAGAAAUAAAGAGAUCAUAUUGAUCUUAUGGAGAGUAAUGACUUCACAUAUAGAGAGUGUGAUGAUUAAAAGUUGUUGAGAGUUGACAAACAUAGUUUUGGUCAUCGUUGCAAUUAGUAGGAAGUAAUAAAGAAAGAGAGGUUUCACAUACAAAUAUAUUAUCUUAGACAUCUUUUAUGAUUGUGAGCACUCAUUAAAAUAUGACAUGCUAAAGAGUUGACGUUGGACAAGGAAGACAACGUAUGGGUUAUGUUUUCUUAUAUCUGAAAUAAAGUAUAUUGUCAUGGAUCAUCCAACAUGUCAGCCAAUUCUUUGCACCAAGUAGAGAUACUACUUGUGCUUCCAAUACCCUUAAACCCAGUUUUGCCAUGAGAGUACACCAUAUCUACCUAUGGAUUGAGUCAGAUCCUUCAAGUAAGUUGUCAUUGUUGCAUGCAAUAAAAAUUGCUCUCUAAAUAUAUAUGACUUAUUAGUGUGGAGAAAAUAAGCUUUAUACGAUCUUGUGACGUGGAAGAAAUAAAAGCGACAGACUGCAUAAUAAAGGUCCACAUCACAAGUGGCAAUAUAAAGUGACGUUCUUUUGCAUUAAGAUUUCGUGCAUCCAACCAAAAGCACAUGACAACCUCUGCUUCCCUCUGCGAAGGGCCUAUAUUUUACUUUUAUCUUCUAACCUUGUGCAAGAGUCAUGGUGAUCUUCACCUUUCCUUUUUACAUUUUAUCUUUUGGCAAGCACACUGUGUUGGAAAGAUCCUGAUAUAUAUAUAUAUAUAUAUAUAUAUAUAUAUAUAUAUAUAUAUAUAUAUAUAUAUAUAUCUAAUUGGAUGUAAGUUAGCAUGAGCUAUUAUUGUUGACAUUACCCUUGAGGUAAAAGGUUGGGAGGCGAAACUAUAAGCCCCUAUCUUUCUCUGUGUCCGAUUAAAACUCCGUAACCACAAGUAUUGCGUGAGUGUUAGCAAUUGUGAAAGACUAAAUGAUAGUUGAGUAUGUGGACUUGCUGAAAAGCUCUUAUAUAGACUCUUUCCAAUGUUAUGAUAAAUUGCAAUUGCCUCAAUGACUGAGAUUAUAGUUGUUGGUUCUCAAUGAAGUUUCUGAUUCAUACUUGACGUUGUGAAUAGAUUAUUACUUGAGGAUAAGAAGUCAUAUGACAAUAUUCAAAUAUGUUGCUGUUAUAAGAAUGAUCAUGAUGCCCUCAUGUCCAUAUUUUAUUUUAUCGACAGCUCUAUCUCUAAACAUGUGGACAUAUUUAUCGUUAUCGGCUUCCGCUUGAGGACAAGUGAGGUCUAAGCUUGGGGGAGUUGAUACGUCCAUUUUGCAUCAUGCUUUUAUAUCGAUAUUUAUUGCAUUAUGGGCUGUUAUUACAACACGUUAUGUCACAAUACUUAUGCCUAUUCUCUCUUAUUUUACAAGGUUUACAUGAAGAGGGAGAAUGCCGACAGCUGGGAUUCUGGGCUGGAAAAGGAGCAAAUAUUAGAGACCUAUUCUGCACAGCUCCAAAAGUCCUGAAACUUCACGGAAGUCAUUUUUGGAAUUAAGAAAAAAUACUGGGUGAAGAAAAUACCAGAGGGGGCCCACACCCUGGCCACGAGGGUGGGAGGCGCGCCCUACCCCCUGGGCGCGCCCCCCUGCCUCGUGGGCCCCCUGGAAGGUCUCUAGUGCCCAUCUUCUGGUAUAUGAAGUCUUUCGUUCGAGAAAAAAAUCAUAAGCAAGCUUUCGGGAAGAAACUCCGCCGCCACGAGGCGGAACCUUGGCGGAACCAAUCUAGGGCUCCGGCGGAGCUGUUCUGCCGGGGAAACUUCCCUCAGGGAGGGGGAAAUCAUCACCAUCGUCAUCACCAACGAUCCUCUCAUCGGGAGGGGCCCAAUCUUCAUCAACAUCUUCACCAGCACCAUCUCCUCUCAAACCCUAGUUCAUCUCUUGUAUCCAAUCUUUGUCCCAAAGCCUCAGAUUUGUACCUGUGGGUUGCUAGUAGUGUUGAUUACUCCUUGUAGUUGAUGCUAGUUGUUGGAAGAUCAUAUGUUCAGGGGAAGCAUAGCAACGAGUGGGGAGAGUGUGUCUAGGUACCCUCGUAGACCAAAAGUGGAAGCGUUAUGUAACGCGGUUGAUGUAGUCGAACGUUGAUGUCUACUACGCAACCUUCUUAUUGUAGAUGUUGUUGGGCCUCCAAGUGUAGAGGUUUUUAGGACAGUAGCAAAUUUCCCUCAAGUGGAUGACCUAAGGUUUAUCAAUCAGUGGGAGGCGUAGGAUGAAGAUGGUCUCUCUCAAGCAACCCUGCAACCAAAUAACAAAGAGUCUCUUGUGUCCCCAACACACCCAAUAGAAUGGCAAAUUGUAUAGGUGCACUAGUUCGGCGAAGAGAUGGUGAUACAAGUUGAAAGUGCGUUAUAUCNNNNNNNNNNNNNNNNNNNNNNNNNNNNNNNNNNNNNNNNNNNNNNNNNNNNNNNNNNNNNNNNNNNNNNNNNNNNNNNNNNNNNNNNNNNNNNNNNNNNNNNNNNNNNNNNNNNNNNNNNNNNNNNNNNNNNNNNNNNNNNNNNNNNNNNNNNNNNNNNNNNNNNNNNNNNNNNNNNNNNNNNNNNNNNNNNNNNNNNNNNNNNNNNNNNNNNNNNNNNNNNNNNNUAUGAAUUCUUCACCGAGGAAUUUGCCGGUGAGGAAAUUCCUUAGCGAAUAACUUCUUGCAGCGAAAUAAGUACUCAAAAACAAACAUAAUAGAAUACAAGCAUGGUCAUCAUGAUGAAAUGAGAACAAGCACAGAGUACAGAAAGCGUAAACACAGGAUAACACAGGAUGAAGACAAACAGACUGAAGAAAUUGAACUGAGGAAAUUGGGAAAGUCUUCAGUCAAAGUCUUCAAACACAGAUAUGACAAGCACACAACACAGUGAUGAGGAAAUGAAAGAGUUGAGGAAAUAGAACCAGUAGGCUUGGUGAAGACAAUGAUUUGGUAGACCAGUUCCAACUGCUGUCUCAGUUGUACAUAUGGUUGGAGCGGCUAGGUAUUUAAACCUGAGGACACACAGUCCCGGACACACAGUCCUCACCGUAUUCUCCUUGAGCUAAGGUCACACAGACCUCGCCCAAUCACUCGUGGUAAGUCUUCAGGUGACUUCCAAACCUUCACAAACUUGGUCACUCGGCUAUCCACAAUUCCUCUUGGAUGCUCUAGACCAUGAUGCCUAACCAUCUGGAAGAAGCACAAUCUUCAAUGGUAACAAGCGUCGGAUCCACGCAGGAUCAAUCUCUUCAGUGAUGCUCAAUCACUUUGGGUUUGUAGGUGUUUGGGUUUGGGUUUUUCCUCACUCGAUGAUUUUCGCUCAAAGUCCUUGGAGGAUGGGAUGCUCUCAAAUGACAAGUGUCAGUUUCUCUCGGAGCAGCCAACCAGCUAGUGGUUGUAGGGGGCGGCUAUUUAUAGCCUAGGGAGCAGCCCGACAUGAUAAGACAUAAAUGCCCUUCAAUGAUAUGACCGUUAGGUGGGUAGAUAUUUUGGGACAGAUGGCGCGUAGCACAACAACGGUCGGAAUUUUGAGUAUCAAAUUCCUCAGGGCUAUCAUGUUCCUCACUGUGUAGGCAAUCUGCACUGGCGAAUUCCUAACUCCUCAGUCAGAACAAAUUCCUCAGAGACUAGAAGAACUUUGUCUCUGUCACUGAAGAAUAUGACUGAUCUGUAUGAGAUUUCCAAUGGCUUCACUCGAAGGGAUUGGUAGGUGUAGGAUUUUGAGUUGAGCAUCACAUGGAAAUUUUUCCUUAGUAUUUCCUCGACCCCCUUUAACAGUACGGUGUUUCCUAUGACUCAAGAAAUAGAAAAUGAAACUACGAAAACAAAAGUCUUCACGCUUCAUGUUCCUCAAAUGAAUACCAAGUCUUCAAGGUCACACCAAUUUCUUCACUUUCAAAGUCUUCAGAAAGUCUUCAGAAAUCCAAAGUCUUCAGUCGAAGAACUUGAUUUUUAGGGGUCGAAUUUCUCUGUAAAUAUCAAAACUCCUCAUAGACAUAUAGACCUGUGUACACUCAUAAACGCAUUAGUCCCUGUCUUCAAUACACCAAAGUCACUAAGGGGCACUAGAUGCACUUACAAUCUCCCCCUUUUUGGUGAUUGAUGACAAUUAAUAUAGGUUAAGUUUUCAACGGGGAUAAACAUAUGAAGUGUAAAUACUGAUAUUGAGGAAUUUGAUUGCAAGAUAUAGAAGAACCCCCCUGAAGAUGUGCAUAGUGAGGAAUUUUCUUUUGAAGUAAUGCACACUUGAAGAGUAAAAUCAUGGAGAUCUCCCCCUAUAUCUUGUAAUUCAUACACGCAUUUGACAUAUAAUAUGAAGAAUUUGAAAUGCAUGAUGAAAUAUGGUGACUGAUGUAAUUCAGCAUGCGUGCAAUAACAUUAACGAGGAAUAAGCAUGCAGAAGAAACAGCAAAAGUAUCAGGCCACCAUAGAGUUUAAGUUUAAAACUCAAUCCAGCAAAGUCAUCAGAAGAACAAGAGUUGUAACUUAAGAAAAAACGCCCAUAUAUGAUAAACUCGCUUGAAGACUAACUCAAUUUUCUCCUCCUUUGUCAUCGAAUGACCAAAAGGAUCGAAAAUGAGGACUAACGCCCCUGAAGAAUAUCAAGUUGAUGGAGGAGCGCCAGCGUUGUUGGGGUCGUUUGUCGUAGUAGGGCCUGCCGCAGUGUCGUCCAAGUCUUCAUGCUCGUCGGUGUCGCGUGAUGAAGAAUAGGAGCUGGCCACCAAGGAAGGAACCUUGACCUUCUUGUAUUUCUUCGGUGGAGGUGCAGACCAGUCAAAGUCUUCCUUGAGACCCAUGUUCUUCAGAUCUUCUUCACCAUAUACAUUUGAUAGAAUAUCCCAAGUGCGAUCGAAGACUUCAUGGAGGUAGUAAUGGUUUUUCUUCACUGCAUUAUGUGUAGCAGUCAUGUUGUGAAGAAUUGAACCAAACUGACGCUUAACCCAUUUAUGGUUUCGAUCCACCUUCUGGUGAAGACUUUGCGGAAGCUCACGGUCAGUCAUCACACGAGGAGCAGUGGCUUCAGGAUUUGACUUGGACGCAUGGGCAGCAGAAUCAUGAGUGGCAGAGUCAUCAUUGGUGGAAUAAGAUGCAGCUUUGUGAAACUGACCAUCCAAUGGACGAAUGCCUUCAUCUAUGACAGCUGGUGCCUUGCCCUUUUCGUUAGUUGAGGAAUAGGUCCGCUUGAGGACUUCAAUCAGGGGCAAGUAGCUGAGGUGAUUCUGAAAAUCAGCCUUGUAGUUGAGUGAAGACCUUGUUCUGAGGAAUCUCAUAAUCCACGGUGCAUAAGGCUUCAGCUCAAAUGGUGAAAGUGCAACAUUUGCCAGAGUCCUCAUGAAGAAAUCAUGAUAGUUGACAGGAAUGCGAUGAAUGAUGUUGAAAACCAGAUUCUUCAUGAUGCCAACAAUUUCCUCAUCAGAUGAGUCGUGGCCUUUGAUUGGACUCAUAGUCUUCGUCAGAAUGCGAUAGACUGUCCUUGGUACAUACUGCAAUUCCUUCACGAGGAAUUUUGUCCUUGAGGCUUGACCGGGCUUCAAUGGCUUCAUCAGCACUUGCAUAUAGUGAUCUGUAAGCUCAGGCUCUUGGUACAUGCAACGAGCUCCUUCAGGUGGAGGACUGAUGCGCAGGGCGUGAAGUAAUUCACUGGGCGGUGCCUUAUAGUGAGUGUUCUCAGUCAUCCAGUCCAAAACCCAGGAGUUCACAUCGUCAGCAUCUCCUGUGAUGUGCAAUGUUGCGUAGAAUUGAAGAAUGAGUUCUUCAUUCCAAUCAACUAUGUCUGUGCAAAAGUUGAGGAGGCCUGUGUCAUGAAGCACACUGAGGACAGGUGUGAAGCAUGGAAGUGAUUCCAUGUCCACAUGAGGAAUAUGCUCGUGGUCGAAGACUUUGUCCUUGUUCAAGAGCAGUUAAGAAUAGAGUUUGGCCUGGCUGGCGGUCCAGAAGCGCUUCCUUCUAAGACGAGCAGAAUCAUAGGGAUUGUAGUCAGUGAAGAACACGUGCUCGCCGAAGAAAUCAUCAGCCUUGAAUUUCUGCUUCUUUGAGAAUGGAUCCUUUGGUUUGGGCUGAGGAGUAUCAGUCAAUUGCAUUAUGACCUCAGGAAUCGCAAUCUCAGGUUCUUCAUGCUGAGGAAUUUCAGCUUCUACUCCAGUGACAGCCUAGGUCUUCAAUUCUUCAUUUUCAUUUUCUUCAGCACUAGUGGCUGGAAUUUCUUCAUGGACAGACGGUGUGGCAUGUGGUUCAUCAGAUCCCAUUUGAACUGUAGUUGCUGGGGACUGAGGAAUUUGUUGCAAUGGUGUGAAGAGUGGAGAGUUGGGGUGCUGACUUUCCCAAAAGUCAUCAUUCAGCACAGGUGUGGUAUAACCAAUGUCCACAUCUUCAUCUUCCAUUUCUUCAACGCCGGCCUCUUCAGCAGUAAACUGAGGCAUAGGCGAGGAAACAGCUGGAGUUGAAGGGAUUUCAUCCACUUCAAUUUCUUCAUCCAUCUGCUCUGACGUAGCAGCAGAAGGACUUUCUUCAUCAGAUCCGCUAGGGAUCACGUAUUCUUCAUCAAAAGGGACGAUUUCCUUUGAUGGCAUGGUUGAGAUAGGAACAACAUCAAUGGGGUUUGCAAAAGAGCUGGUCAUAGACUUCAUUUUCUUCGGAGCUGAAGAAGCUGAUGCCUUCCUUUUCUUCACUGCUGCACGCUUUGCAGCCUUGGUCUUCUUCACAUCUGAUGCAGAUGGAAAGAUUGGAGUUGGAGUAGGCGCAGGAGGAGCAGAGGAAUGUGGUUGAUUUUCUUCAGGCACAACUGAUGCAGUUGCCCUGACCUCUUCAUUUUCUUCAGGCGCACCACUAGUGGAUGCCUUGGCAAUUUCAUCAGCGGCUGGGAUGCAGUCAUCAGCCCUGGAACUCACAUUUUCCUCAGCAGCCUGAAUGUCAUCAGCGGUGCUGGCAUGUUCUUCAGUCGGCUGAGCAGAUGCUUCAGCCUGAGGAAUUUCUCGUUGCGUUGGAGCUGCAACAUUGGAGGUGAACUUCUUAGUCAGUUUUACAAACCUGACCUUGGCUCCUUGCCAAUCAACAUAGUAAGCAUUGAAAUCAUCGCUGAGGAUUUUGAUUUCAGACUGGAUCUUCACAAGAUCAUCAGUUGUCAUAGAGACAACAUUGUUCUUCAGGAUUCCUUCCUGUACUGCUCUUUCUUGAUCUGCCUGGCCUUCUUAAAUUUCCAUUUCUCUUCUUGGAUGAAGGCAGUCAGCAUAUGACUUUGGCCAGGAGUCAACUUGAAGUCAGGCAUAGGAGUGUUUGGGUCCUUGUGCCAGAGAUCAAUGUAGUCGAGGAUCAACUUUGGAUCCAAAAGCAGUGGCACAUUUGUGCCCUUGGCCCUAACGGCCCUGACCUGCCUAUCUCUGAUGAUUUCAGCAAGUUCUUCAUCAUCAGCUUCGUCUUCAUCAGACGGCACUUGGAAGGCGACUUGCUUCUUGUGAGGACUUGGGCGAGAGCCUCAUCCAGCAGUGGCCUUUGUCUUCAGCAGAGAGGGUCUUGUUGAAGAAUUUGGUGCAACUGAGGAACUAGCAGAAGCUCCUGAGGCAAUAGAGAUGCCCGUCGUCCUUUGACACAUGGUAAGAUGCACAGGUGCUGAGGACUUGGUUAGAGCAACUGAGGACUUUGGAGGAGCAGGAGCAGCGUGAGGAAUUUGCCAUGAGGGCUUUGAGGAUUCUGGCCGUGAGGGCAUUGCUGAGGAACUUGGCCUUGAGGGCAUUGAAGGUGAAGCACUUGGCUUGUGCGCAGGCUUCUUUGCCAUGGAUUUCUUCGGCUUGACAGAGGCCUCAGCGGCAGCAGCAGCAUCAGAGUCUUCGUUGAAUUUCCUCACUGCUUCUCUGGCUUGUCUAGCCAGCUUGGCCUGGCGCUUGGCCCAUUCAUCAGGAUAAUCCUAACCACGCUUGAGGCUGGGGGGAUCCACUUCUUGACCAGGUGCCGACGGAGGUCUUGGGCAUGGAGGAUUUAGUGCGAAUUUCUUCAUGUAUUUGGGAGUAACAUACCUGUACUCCCUCCACUCCCUUGCCCAUCUCCUCUCUAUCCUCUGUAUGCGCACCUUGCGUUGAUUCUUGUCCUCUUUUCCAAAUUUAGCCUCAUCAGGAGUGCAGUAAUCCUUAUAUAUGUCAUCAGGGAUUUCAAAGGCAGUAUUGAUUUCAGGCCUCUUUCCUCCUUUCUGUGGCUUUUUACCGUCAGCCAUUUUCUUCAGCUGAGGAAUUUGAACAAUGGAAUUCUCUGAAGAUGUAUGCAACUUUUCUUCGAGGUACGCUGCAAAUGAGUUAAGUUGAUGAGAACCUAGUGAUUCAGCAGCGGACAUGAGUACCUGUGAACAGAGUAUAAUUGCGAGGAAUUUGGAGAGGUCAUAUGCGUUCUCAGAAGGUUUUGUAAAAAGAACAAGUUUGAGGAAUUUGACCAGAUGAGUCUUGAAGAAUUUCACUAAGCGUUCUUUGUCUUAGGUUCCAGAGUUGUAUAGAUCAAGGAUCCACACAAUUAAGGAAUCUUGAAGAAAAAUUAUUGCUUAGAGAAACGAAUCAAGAACAGAUGACAUGUGAGGUGUUUAGUGUGUGAGGAUUUGAAGAAAAACACCUUUGAAGAUUUUGUAGUAAUCAUUUGAAUCAAAGAGGGCAGUAAAAGUAACUUUUAAUUACCCUGGACGAAGAACACGACAAACUGGGAGGUGGAGAUGUGAAGUUCGUUAGUGCAGAUCUUCCACGCCCUAACUCGGCGGAGGAAGACGGCUACGGCGGCAUCAGAGUCAAGAUUUCCGCGGCCGGCGCGAGUACGACAGCGACGAGGUCGAGGCAGUGAAGCUCUUCCUCACCGGCGACGAUAAAGUAGUGGCGGCGCUAGGGUUUGAGAAGCUCGAGCUGGAGAGAGGUCGAGCGGACUAAAGGAAGUGAGGAAGGGGAGGGGGGUAUUUAUAGCCACGGUGAAAAACUGUUCGCCCGAAGAAAUUGGACGAACGUGCCCCUGACCCUUCUCAUUCGCUUGACAUGUGUCACCCACGUACUGAGAAGUGGAGAUCGUGUGCAAUUGUGGGUGAAUAGAUAAGUAUUUCGUGGGAUGCGGAAUGGUUUGAGCGGCAAAGCCGAAAAUUUGGAUAAGAUAAGUUUUAAUGUUCCGUUCACAAAUUCUUCAGCUGACAAGGACACAGUGAAGAUUUUGAACGAGUUUCAAAUAGAACGCACAUGGAGAAUUUGUGAAAAGAUUGGGUUGAGUUUAGCAUAGAGGGGGAAGGGUCCGAUCACAUUCACUUAACAGAAAAAGCAACUUGAAGAAUUAGCCAUAAGUGAAUGCUGUAGAGGACAUAAACUCAUAUAUAUAUAGCCAACGAAGAAAAAGACGGAAACAGUGAAGACAAUGCAAAGUUGAAGAAAAUGAACAACUGAGGAAUUUCAAAACUGAGGAAAAACUCAAAUUGAAGAUUUUCAACUUUUGGUGGUGGCGUGACCCACCGUAUGAGAAUGAUGAUUUCAGACACCACAUACAAUUGUCAUAGGGUUCUGAGAAUCAAAUUCUUCGUUAAUUUCUUCACACUUAGAGUGUUAUUUGUCACGACCAGUUUUCCAAUAAAACAUUUAUUGAGAAACCGAUCCCUUUAACGGACCAGUAGAGAAGAAUCCUUCUUACUGGUAGACAAAUUCUUGAUUACAGAAAAAAUCCAGGAGUACUAAAUAUAAUACAAGGUUGAGCGGAGGCUGCUCAACAAUUUAUUACAAGUACGCCGAUAUUAUACAUAAAGGCGGAUAUGACACAAGGGGUAUGGUGGCAUAACUACUGACUCGUAAUAAAAGUGGUGGUGGAUAUGUCACAGAGAAGUGGGUGACAGGACUCCUAAAUCUUACAGCUCAUCGAGCGUCGGAGUGAGGCUCGAGGACUUUUUUAUUGUGGGUAGCGGAAGCGUAUAUAAUACAAGUGACCAAUUCCAGGAUCGCACGGGACUGACUGGGACUCCUCUAGGCGUCGGACUUGCUAUCGAACUCAUCAUCCAUGAGAUCGCCUUCGUCAACAUCUGGCCAAAUCAACAAGCCAGGUGAGUACUAUGAAAGUACUCGCAAGACAGUUUGGACAUAAGAUAUAACAAAUGCAAACAUGAUGCAUACGAGCAGAUUAGUAAUGCGCACUCAGAUAAUAAAAUUUGCACUGCAUGAGAAAUAAAAAGGAAGUCGGGCGGUAGUCCUCCCGAAAUCCCAAUAAAAUACUAAAGGCCAAUCGAGUGUCUGAAAUGACGCCUCGAAAGGGUACAAAUAAAUUAAUAAUGCCGCAGUCGGGCGUCAGGGCGACACCACAUAAAGGGCUUAUAUUGGAAUAUAAACGACAGUGCGUGCCACAGUCGGACGUCUGAGCGACAUCACAUAAAGGGCUUAUAUCAAAAGUAAAUAACGAGAGUGCCACAGUCGAACGUCUGAGCGACAUCACAUAAAGGGCUUAUAUCAAAAGUAAAUAACGAGAGUGCCACAGUCGGACGUCUGAGCGACAUCACAUAAAGGGCUUAUAUCAAAAGUAAAUAACAAGAGUGCCACAGUCGGACGUCUGAGCGACAUCACAUAAAGGGCUUAUAUUUCAUAACUCGAUAUUCCAGUAGCUCAUGAAUUUAAAUCAUCUCAAGGAAAUACUCAGGUACGAAAUAAUAAAGUGGUUAGUCCAUCGCAGGAAUAACAUUCAAUCUGGGUUACCACUCAAGCUUGUUCACCGGGGAUUUUCACUGAGACCGACACAGGGAUUGACGUGGAUAUUGAUAUGGAUAUGUUGACCAAGGUCCUUGACCAUGGACACAAAUUUCUCGGAAGGUUUUAACUCUGCAGAGUUUGUACUUUUAACCACAGCCAACAGAUUUCGGUAGCCACAAAGGACUAGUUCCGUUUACGGUAUUUUAGGAGAAACACAUCUAACCAGUACACACCCAUUCCACAUUCCGUUGCCAGGAAUCACCCUAGGCAACGUUCAAGAAAAACCUUGAGACGGGGAGGCUACAACCUCGCGUAGCAUGGGAUCAAAUUUGUAUCGCGCGCUCUAAGGGGUGCCCCCCUCUCGGUCCCAACCGGAAACACCCAUGUCCCCUGACCGGAUGACUGGCUUUAAUCCAGGGCCAUGGAACCCUCAUCCCGGCCCCUCUGUUUGUUGUGUACACGGAAAGAGGUUUGCAACUUACUAAGCCGUAUUCUUUGCAGAAAACAUGUGGCAGCACGAAAAGGGAACGAACGGUAACGUGGCUCGGUCCACGUUAACGUCGGAGUUUAACGGUUGACAUAAGACUGGCAUGCUACAACAAUACCAUCUUACUACCUCUCAUGUCACCACAUGAUCAGGUCAUCUCCCAUCAAAAGAUCACAUCAAACUUCGAAGCACACGGGUAGUUGCCUUGCAUGCAACGUAACACUCACCGAUGCCCAUAUGCCAUGCACAAACUAUUCAAGCAAACAUGCAAACACUCAUCAUAUCAAAGGUUCAAACAUGCUUGCCUGGUUCGGAGAAGUCGGAGUCUAGCUCGGCGAAGUUCGCGGCUCCGUUACCUCCUCCGGUAUCUACGGUAUAAAGAAACCGUAUACUAACGUGAAUACUGUUGCGUGUAUAAAAAUUAUUCCAAUUUUUUUCCAAAUAAAUACUAUAAAAAACUAGACAAAGAUAUAAGACUAACAAAAAAAGAAUCAAUCAAAAAGCAUCUUUUGUUUAAAAGAUAUAAAGGUUUUAGUCCAAGGACUAAUCUGUGAUGCAACAGAAAAGAUCCAGGGGCUUGUUUGAAAAAGCAGAAAACACUUCAGUAUGAAAUACGCCAGCCAAGAAGGAAAACACACUUUGCCCGAAGGCGCCUUUAGAAAAACGGUUCGAGGAAAAGAAAGAGAGGCUGACGGGGGGUCCCACCCGUCAGGUUCAAACUCGAACAGAGCUCGCCGGCGCCCGAGGGCUGCGGUGGUCGCCGGCGUUGAUCCACGGCGGGGUAGGGGGAUCGGAGGGUACCUACGGGUUCAGGGUGUCCUUCCGCGUCGGUGGGUGGUGGACUUGGCCGUCGGCGAGCACCACGUCGACGGCGACCUUAUCUCCGGCGGACGGUGGUUCGGGCGAGGAUGAAACUCUCCGGUGGGUGCUGCAAACUUCAAAUUUGGGCGCGGGGUUAGAGAGGUGGAUGCACUAGGAGGCUACUGGCAUGUGUUGAGAGGCGGGGGUGCACGCACUGGAGCGAAUCUUGCCGGAUCCCGAAGCGGGUCGAGGCGGCCGGAGUUGGGGAAGAAGACCUCCUCGAGGCCUUCCCAGUGGCUUGGCAUGGAUCUUGUGGGGUGGAGUGAUGGUGCGUGGUCGAGUUCGAGCUCGGGACCUCCUUUUAUAGUCGAUCCGAGGAGGUGGCCGUGAACGGGAUAACGCCGGCGAGCAAUUACGGCGGGGCAGAGGUCGGGCAGGAGGUUUAGGUGAUUUGGCAUCAUCGUGGUGGUCCACUGGUACCGUUUCUUAGCUAAAACCUCAGUCGGUCCUGGGUAAUACUCCGGCCCUCGACGGAACGGCCGUACGGGCACGACGGCGGCAGGGAGCGCGCUCCGUGCCUCCCAGUUCACGAUGACGGCUCUGCAGUGUGCACAGAGGAGGGGACGGCCACGCGGUGGCCUCUGGUGGCUUGGGCGGUGCUGGACAGCGCCGUCCCUCGCUGCGUCUCUCUGGCAGCCGCAGCGGGCGCUGCUGCCGCCGCGCACGGGGUGAUGCACCUCGGCCAGCUCGCCGCCGACGCCCGCAACCUUCCAAGCGAACGUGCGGCACGGUGGAUAAGAAGGAGGAACAUGGAGCAAGGCGCCACUGCAGCUACUGGCGAGAUCGACGAGAGUCUCUGAAGAAAACGACAUCGGCUACUGAAACUGUUUUCUGAACUCUGAACUUCGACAAUAACAGUGUACGCCAGGUGUUCGAUGAUAUGAUUUGGGCACGAGGAAAAACUUUCUGGAGCCGGGACUUGGUGAGGUGACCUCUUGAUGCAUCUAGAGGCUGCCUGAAUUUUCUCAGAUUUUUAGGAGGAGAAAACAAAUGAAUUUCACCAAAUUUUGCAAAUAUGGCCCAAACUUGCAGCAAGCACAUUUUGAAAAUUUUGAAUUGGGGACCAGUGGUUCUUCCUGGAUCUUGGUUGAGGGUCCUAAGGACUAGCCAGGGAAACUUGUUUGGAGGCAAAACUCAAAGGAAAACUAGUGGUUCCUUUGUAAAUUUCUAAGGGCCAAAAUAGGAGACAGAAAAGAUUUUGAUUAAAAAUAAAUGGAGAUAAAAAUCAUGGGGAAGUUUAACUUGCUGGAUUGGAAGUUUGACUUGACACAAAGUGGGGAGAUGGCCUUUGGGAGGAGUUUUCAACUUAGGUUAUGGCAAGAGAUAAGUUUUCAAAGGGAAAGGAUCACCCCAUAAGCCAUAGGGCUAUUUAUAAAGAAAAGAUUUUCAAAAACUUUCCCAAGGAAAAACACUUGUGUUGAGUCAACACAAGAUGAAAAACCUCCAAGACCAAAGAUCAAGUCUUGGAUGAACCCAAACAAAAUACUUGUCAUAAAAGAAAUUUUUUGAGAAGGAGAGUCCUUUUAAAAAAAAAUUUAAAUAACCUUCUUCAAAUCAAAUAAAGAUUUUGAUAAAACCAAAUAAAAUUUUUGGGUGUCACAUUAUUCUUCAUUGAUUGAAGAAAAACGUUUCUUCAUGUGUUGCACAUCUAAGUCAUCAAUUUUGCAUAAGUGUUAGGACGAGUGUCCUUUUCAAAGAACAUUCAAAGAUUCUAAGAUAUUUAGCUCACACCGCAACUUGCUAAAUCUCUUCUCAUCCAAGGGCUUUGUGAAGAUAUCGGCUACCUAUUCUUCAGUCUUCACAUGCUCAAUAGAAAUGUCGCCCUUCAACACAUGAUCGCGAAGAAAAUGAUGACGAAUCUGAAUGUGCUUUGUCUUCGAGUGCUGAACUGGGUUGUGAGUAAUCUUGAUGGCACUCUCAUUGUCACAAAAGAGAGGCACAUUCUUCACGUUGACGCCGUAGUCCUUGAGAGUUUGCUUCAUCCACAACAAUUGAGCACAACAAGAACCAACAGCAAUGUACUCAGCUUCAGCAGUAGACAGUGAUACGCAGUUCUGUUUCUUCGAGGACCAACAGACCAAAGAUCGUCCGAGGAAAUGACAUAUACCAGAUGUUGACUUGCGGUCCACAUGAUCGCCAGCAUAGUCAGAGUCAGAAUAUCCAAUGAGAUCAAAAGCCGAGCCCUUGGGGUACCAUAAUCCAAGUGUUGGUGUGUGAGCUAGAUAUCGAAGAAUAUGCUUCACAACCUUAUGGUGUGAUUCCUUCGGUGUAGCUUGAAAUCGGGCACACAUGCAAACACUAAGAAUUAUAUCUAGCCUAGAUGCACAUAAGUACAAUAAAGAACCAAUCAUGGAGCGGUAUACCUUAUGAACGAAGUCAAUACCAUUUUCAUCAGUGCAUAGAUGGCCAUUUGUGGGCAUAGGAAUUUUGACGCCUUUGCAAUCUUGCAUGCCGAAUUUUCUCAGUACAUCCUUGAGGUAUUUCUCCUGAGAUAUGAAUAUGCCAUUGCGCCAUUGACGAAUUUGAAGACCUAAGAAGAAUUUCAACUCUCCCAUCAUAGACAUUUGAUAUUCUUCACUCAUCAUAUAGGCAAAUUCAUCACUAUAACGUUGGUCAGUACAGCCAAAGAUAAUAUCAUCAACAUAUAUUUGGCACACAAACAGUUCACCAUCAUAAGAUUUAGUGAAAAGAGUAGGGUCGAGUGAACUGGGUUUGAAGCCUUUCUUCAUGAGGAAUUCCUUCAAAGUAUCAUACCACGCCCGAGGUGCCUGCUUGAGGCCAUAGAGGGCCUUAUUGAGUCUGAAGACUUUGUCAGGAUUCUUUGGAUCUUCAAAACCUGGGGGUUGAGCAACAUAUACUUCUUCCUCAAGCUUACCAUUGAGGAAUGCACUUUUCACAUCCAUUUGAUAUAGAGUAAUAUCAUGAUGGUUACACUAGUAGAAAACAGGGCUUUCGUUCGGGCAUGGCAAGCCCAUUAGUCCCGGUUCAGUCACAAACCGGGACCCAUGGGGGCAUUUGUCCCGGUUCGUGAGCCCAGGAGGCCGGCCGGGGCCUCGUGGGCAUUGGUCCCGGUUCGUAUGGAACCAUUUGUCCCGGUUCGAGGCACGAACCGGGACUAAUGGGCCUCGCUCCUGGCCCACAACCAUUGGUCCCAGUUCUUGGCAUGAACCGGGACAGAAGGCCCGGAUUUAGUACCGGUUCUAGCCACGAACCGGGACAAAUGAGCUGCCUAUAUAUACCCCAUCGCCGCAGCAGAGCACUCCACAGUGCUCUAUUUUUUCUGGCCGUCGAGGGGAGGGCAUUUGGGUGCUCUAGCUCACCUCCUAUGCACAUGAGGUGUUCGAUGAAAUGUCUGAGCCACACUAGUUAAUCUUUCUCCUCUCGAAACUCGACCUCCGAGCUCCAUUUUCCCCAAGAUUUGUCUAGGUUUAGCGGUCCGUCACGUCCCGUCCCUGUCUUUACCGCCGUCGAUUGCCCGCGCCGAUCUCGUCGCCAGCACCACCGUGGUGAGCCUCUUGUUCUUAUCUUCUUUCUGAAAGAAAAAAAAAUUCUUACUUCAGAUAGAUACUUGUCUAAUUUUGUUACUUUUAUUAUUCCUUCUUAUUAUAUAGUGCGAUGGUUUUGGUAUCCGCCCCCGUCAGCCCUUGUCCUGUCUAUGAUUCGGAUGUGGUAUAUAUUAUCUUUUUAUAACUAUUUGGUUCAUUUAUUGUUUAUGACAAUUAUGCUGACCAACGUGUCAUAGAUUUUAUUUAUCUAGGAGGUGGUUGAACCGGAAAUUCCAACCGACCCUAUUGUCGAGAGGUUAAAUUUAGUUGAAGAAGAAAACAAUUACUUGAAGGAAAAAAUAAAAUAAAUUGAGGAGGAGAAGAUGAUAUUGGAGUUGCAUGUUGCGGAUGUCGUCGAUGAUCACAAGAUCAAGAUGGAUGCAAUGCGCUUGAAGAUUAGAAAGAUUAGAAAAUAUGCCAUUCAUACCGAGGCUUGGUAUCAUUAUGCCGUUGGAUCAAUUGUUACCUUGGUUGCGAUUAUGAUCGCAUUUGUUUUCGCAUUGAAAUGUUUUACAUAGUUUCAAUGUAUGGUUUAAUUAAUUAGAUGCUCUGGAGAGCUAUAUGUUGUUAGAUGAGAACUAUGUAUGUACUUUGGUUUUAAUGUGAUGAUGAACUUCUAUUAAUUUGGUCACUUAAUUAUCUAUUCAUGAUGUUCUAUAAUGGUUUUUGACACACUUAAUUAUAUAUAAUGCACGCAGAUGAACCGGCAAUGGAUGUACGGUGACAGACACACCUCCGAGUACAUUAAGGGCGUGCAUGAUUUUCUCGAAGUGGCUGAGGCAAACAAGCAGAAUGGUUAUAUGUGUUGUCCAUGCCCUACAUGUGGGAAUACGAAGUCUUACUCUGACCGGAAAAUCCUUCACACCCACCUGCUUUACAAGGCUUUCAUGCCACACUAUAAUGUUUGGACGAGGCACGGAGAAAUAGGGGUUAUGAUGGAAGACGGCGAAGAAGAAGAGGACGAUGACAACUAUGUGCCCCCUGAAUACAGUGAUGCUGCAACGGGGGAAGCUGCUGAAGAUCAAGAGGAACCAGACGAUGUGCCCAAUGAUGCUGCAACGGGGGAAGCUGCUGAAGAUCAAGAGGAACCAGUGUCCGAUGAUGAUGAUCUCCGCCGGGUCAUUGUCGAUGCAAGGACGCAAUGCGAAAGUCAAAAGGAGAAGCUAAAGUUCGAUCGCAUGUUAGAGGAUCACAAAAAAGGGUUGUACCCCAAUUGCGAAGAUGGAAACACAAAGCUCGGUACCAUACUGGAAUUGCUGCAGUGGAAGGCAGAGAAUGCUGUGCCUGACAAAGGAUUUGAGAAGCUAUUGAAAAUAUUGAAGAAGAAGCUUCGAAAGGAUAACGAAUUGCCCGACAGUACAUACGCAGCAAAGAAGGUCGUAUGCCCUCUAGGAUUGGAGGUGCAGAAGAUACAUGCAUGCCCUAAUGACUGCAUACAAGGAUCUGAACGCAUGCCCGGUAUGCGGUGCAUUGCGGUAUAAGAUUAGACGAGAUGACCCUGGUGAUGUUGACGGCAAGCCCCCCAGGAAGAGGGUUCCUGCGAAGGUGAUGUGGUAUGCUCCUAUAAUACCACGGUUGAAACGUCUGUUCAGAAACGAAGAGCAUGCCAAGUUGAUGCGAUGGCACAGUGAGGACCGUAAGAAAGACGGGAAGUUGAGAGCACCCGCUGACGGGUCGCAGUGGAGAAAAAUCGAGAGAAAGUACUAGGCUAAGUUUGCAGCUGACCCAAGGAACGUAUGGUUUGGUUUAAGCGCGGAUGGCAUUAAUCCUUUCGGGGAGCAGAGCAGCAAUCACAGCACCUGGCCCGUGACUGUAUAUAUGUAUAACCUUCCUCCUUGGAUGUGCAUGAAGCGGAAGUCCAUUAUGAUGCCAGUUCUCAUCCAAGGCCCUAAGCAACCCGACAACGACAUUGAUGUGUACCUAAGGCCAUUAGUUGAAGAACUUUUACAGCUAUGGAAUGGAAACGGUGUACGUACGUGGGAUGAGCACAAACAGGAGGAAUUUAACCUGCACGCGUUGCUGUUUGUAACCAUCAACGAUUGGCCCGCUCUCAGUAACCUUUCAGGACAGACAAACAAGGGAUACCACGCAUGCACGCACUGUUUAGAUGACACUGAAAGUAUAUACCUGGACAAAUGCAGGAAGAAUGUGUACCUGGGCCAUCGUCGAUUUCUUCCGACCAACCAUCAAUGUCGAAAGAAAGGCAAGCAUUUCAAAGGCGAGGCAGAUCACUGGAAGAAGCCCGCCAUGCGUACCGGUGAUCACGUACUUGCUAUGGUCAAUGAUUUACACGUAAUCUUUGGAAAGGGUCCCGACGGACUAGUUGUUCCGAAUGACGCUGAGGGACACACACCCAUGUGGAAGAAGAAAUCUAUAUUUUGGGACCUACCCGACUGGAAAGACCUAGAGGUCCGCUCUUCAAUCAACGUGAUGCACGUGGCGAAGAACCUUCACGUGAACCUGCUAGGCUUCUUGGGCGUGUAUGGGAAGACAAAAGAUACACCUGAGGCACGGGAGGACAUGCAACGUUUGCACGAAAAAGACGGCAUGCCUCCGAAGCAGUAUGAAGGUCCUGCCAGCUACGCUCUUACGAAAGAAGAGAAAGAAAUCUUCUUUGAAUGCCUGCUCAGUAUGAAGGUCCCGACUGGCUUCUCGUCAAAUAUAAAGGGAAUGAUAAAUAUGCCAGAGAAAAAGUUCCAGAACCUAAAGUCUCAUGACUGCCACGUGAUUAUGACGCAACUGCUUCUGGUUGCAUUGAGGGGGCUUCUACCGAAAAACGUCCGAUUAGCCAUUGUGAAGCUAUGUGCAUUCCUCAAUGCAAUCUCUCAGAAGGUGAUCGAUCCAGAAAUCAUACCAAGGCUAAGGAGUGAUGUGGUGCAAUGUCUUGUCGGUUUCGAGCUGGUGUUCCCACCAUCCUUCUUCAAUAUCAUGAUGCACGUCCUAGUUCAUCUAGUCGACGAGAUUGUCAUUCUGGGCCCGUAUUUCUACACAAUAUGUUCCCCUUUGAGAGGUUCAUGGGAGUCCUAAAGAAAUAUGUCCAUAAUCGCGCUAGGCCAGAAGGAAGAAUCUCCAUGGGCCAUCAAACAGAGGAUGUCAUUGGGUUUUGUGUUGACUUCAUUCCUGGCCUUAAGAAGAUAGGUCUCCCUAAAUCGCGGUAUGAGGGGAGACUGACUGGAAAAGGCACGCUAGGAGCGAACUCAAUAAUAUGCAGGGACGGGCAUUCUUGGUCUCACGCACACUACACAGUUCUACAGAACUCUACCUUGGUGACCCCGUAUGUCGAUGAACACAAGAAAAGUCUGCGCUCCAAACACCCGGAGCAGUGUGACGACUGGAUUACAUGUGAACACAUCAGGACUUUCAGCAGUUGGUUGGAAACACGUCUCAGAGGUGACACCACUAUUUGUGAUGAGUUGUACUCGUUGUCCAGGGGACCAUCUUCAACUGUAUUGACUAACAAAGGAUACGAGAUAAAUGGGAAUACAUUUUACACGAUCGCCCAAGAUCAAAAGAGCACCAACCAAAACAGCGGUGUCCGCUUUGAUGCAGCAACCGAUAGGGGAAAGGACACAUAUUAUGGUUACACAAUGGACAUAUGGGAACUUGACUACGAACAUGAUUUUAAGGUCCCUUUGUUUAAGUGCAAAUGGGUCAAUCUGUCAGGAGACGGGGUACAUGUAGACCCACAGUACGGAAUGACAACAGUGGAUCUGAACAAUCUUGGGUACACUGAUGAACCGUUCGUCCUAGCCAAUGAUGUGGCACAGGUUAUCUAUGUGAAGGACAUGUCUACCAGACCGAGAAAAAGAAAAGAUAAGGAAGCGAAUACAUCAUAAGAUGAGCCAAAGCACCACAUAGUUCUUUCAGGAAAAAGGGACAUUGUGGGAGUGGAGGGCAAGACAGACAUGUCUGAAGAUUACGAAAAGUUUCAUGAAAUUGCUCCCAUCAAAGUCAAGGCUGACCCAAGCAUCCUGAUAAACGAUGAAGAUUAUCCAUGGUUACGGCGCAAUAAGCAAAUGACACAAGCGAAGAAAAAGUGAAGACUUUCUCCCGCAACUAUUAUGAUGAUACCAUGCCAACUUUGUAAUAGACGAGUAUGAUACCAUUGUCCGUUUUGUACACGAAGUGCAUCUAGUUUUUGCCGUAACCCUCUCAACUUUCUUGCACAUGCUAUGUGGAUGAAAUGAUGAUACCAUGCCAACUUUCAACCUUUUCAGAGUUCAUUUGAAAUGCUUUUCAAUUUUAGGGUCUUAUAGCUCAAAAUAAUUAGUAAAUGCAUGAAAAAUGGUGCAUGAAAAAUAACAAAUAAAAUAAAUAAGUAAUUAGAAACAAAAUAAAAUAAACUUUAUUAAAAUAUAUAAGUAGAAACAAAAUAAAAGAAACUUUAAUAAAAUUUAUGAAACUAAAAUUAACAAAGUAUUUUCUGUUCAAAACAUUAUAAGAAACCUCUAGUAUUAUUGAAACUAAAAUCAUAUAAAAUUGAUGCAACUAAAAUUAUCGAAGUAUUUUCUGUUCAAAAUCAUUAAAAGCAAAAAGAAUUUUCAUAAAGAACUUUUUUUGAUAGAAACUUUAAUAGCAAAAAGAAUUAUCAUAAAGUAAAAUAAAUAAGUAAUUAGAAACAAAAUAAAAUAAAAUAAAUAAGUAUUUUGUUGUAAGUAGAAACAAAAUAAAAUAAAUAAAGCAAAAAAGAAAACAAAAAAACUGAGAAAAAAUAAAAAAUGCCACCUACUGGGCCACGACGGCGUGAAUACGACUAGAAACCCAUCCAUGGGCCAGGAUUCAGGCCCGCAGAAGGCCCAGCAGGCCCACAGGCAUAGCAGUGCAAGAUUAGGCCUAGAGGCCUGCAGUUCAGAGGAGUUCAAUGGAGAUGGUGGAGGAGGGCUUAUGAAUAGGUCCUGCUGCUCCUCGGCUAGCGAGGUGGGACUAAACAUCCCAACGCACCGCGGCUUUGGCAGGCGCAGGACAUUGGUCCCGGUUGGUGCCACGAACCGGGACCAAUGCACACCUUUGGUCCUGGUUGGUGGCACCAACCGGGACCAAUGCCCCACCUUUAGUCCCGGUUGGUGCCACCAACCGGGACCAAAGGCCGCCGCUUCCCGCCCUUUGGGCUGCUGAAAAUAGACCUUUGGUCCCGGUUGGUGGCACGAACCGGGACCAAAGCUCUGGGUAUAUAACCAACACUUGUGAAAAUUUUCAUCUUCAUCUCGCAGUUGCCCCUGACGACCCCUUGACGACAUCGACGCCGCCAGGCUGCCCCGACGCCGCCCGCCGCCCCCGCCGUCACCGUCGCCCGCGCCCAUCGUCGCCCUCGCCGUCGCCCACUACACCACGGUCAAGUUUCGGCGACACAUAAAUCUGUUGGCAUAGGGUACCUUUGCCGACACAUAGCUUGUCGCUAACACAUAUGCUGACAAAAGAGAAAACAGUCGGAGGACUUGCUGUGGGGAAAGGCAUUGCCGACAGAAGUUCACUUGCCGACACUUUUUCAGACAGUAUACACCCUACCUACGCCGACAGUUUGCUUGUGGACAUACACCCUACGUACCCCGACAUAUGGUUUGUGGGCAUACAUCCUAGGUACGCCGACAGUUGAGGUGUGCACUUACACCCUACUUUUGUCGACACUUAUGCUGUUCUUCUAGGUAUAUAUCUAUCCCGACACAUAUUCUGUUUGGAUAUAUUUGCACCUUUGCCGACACUUAUGCUGUCUAUAUAGGUAUAUAUCUUGGCCAACAGAUAGUCUGUUCGUCUAGGUAUGUAUGUUUGCUGACACAUUUCAUGCCUAGCUAGCUAGUAGCCAUGGCCGACUGUUGCGCUGCAAGAAUUUGUUUACCAACAGAUAACUUGUUAGUAUGUAGUGCACAGCCAAACCAAUAAUUUCACAUAUAUACUGAAAUGCAAUCGAUAAACAACAUCAACAUGGACACAUUGGACAACAAUGAUUAUAGGUUCACAAAUAGACAUAUACUGGCAUAGGUUCACAAACAGACAUAUACUGACAUAGGUUCACAAAUAGACAUAUAUAUAGACAUAGGUUCACAAGCACAACCAGAAGUAUAGCUUAACCAUCCAGAACACACAAGUCACAUAAAAAGGACCACUGCUUGUUCGAUGAAAUAAUUCAAACACUAAUCCAGAGCACACAAGUCACAUCCAUGAGCACAAAGUUUCUACUCCAAAACACUUGAAGCACCAAAUGGUCCGAAACACACAUCAGAUUCGUGACAUGAUUGAAGUUGGCUUCCAAAUACUGCGCACAACCAUGUAUGUUCCAUGAUACUCCAAGUCCUCCUCACAUCCAAUGCUAGGUGGCUAAGUACCUGAAAAUAUUGCAUACGAAUUUGUCAAGAAUUGUCAAGAAAGUGUAAUCAACUGAAAAGUUGUUCAAAGCUCCUGAACAGUGAUAUGGCAUUAGUGUACUAUUAUUACUAUCAUUACUAGUACACUGGCACUAUGCACAUCUAGUCUAUUGUAAGCAUAUUUGCAAAAUUCAUUUGCAAAAAAAAUAGGUUGCUAUAAGACUUUGUUUAGAAGAUCACCUUUCUACUGACCACAUGCUCCGGAAGUGUACUGGGCCACCAAUUCUAACUUGGGCAGGCAAAUGAACCAUCAAGUGGACCAUGACAUCAAAAAAACUUGGCAGGAAUAUAGUUUCAAGUAUGCUUAAGGUCUCAGCUAUUUCAGCCUCUAGAAUUUGCAUAUCACUGACACGGAUAACAGGUGAGCAAAUCUUUUUGAAGAAGUUACUAACACGAGUCAAUGCAGCACAUACUCUUGUUGGCAAUAUUUUUCGAAUCGCAAGCGGAAGAAGGUGCUGCAGCAGAAUGUGAUUAUCAUGGCUCUUCAGUCCAGAAAUCUUCUUCUCGCCAACAUGGAUAUAACGUCGUAUAUCAGUUGCAAAGCCUUGUGGAAACUUGACUCCCAUCAAGACUUGGAGAAAAUGUUUCAUCUGAUCGGGUGUCAAAGUAUAUUGUGCUGGAGGUAUAUACAAUUUACCCUCUUCUACUUCAACAGGAUGCAGGUCCCCCAUAACACCCAAAGCUUGGAUGUCUAAGCGAGAAUUUGCGUUAUCCUUUGAUUUUCCCUCAAGGCCUAGAAGUGUGUUAACUAUGUUAUCACAUACAUUUUUUUCUAUAUGCAUAACAUCAAAAUUAUGACGCAACAUCAGAUCUUUCCAAUAGGGCAACUUAAACCACACAGAUCUUCUUUUAUACAAGGGAGGGGAUUCACCUUCUUUGCGUUUUCUCUUUGUUGUCUUCUUGGCAGCUGGAUCUUUUCCAAAGGAUGUUUCAAGAUUUGCUGUCAAAUCAUCGAUUUCCUCACCCGUAAGAGGUAUAGGUGCUGUCCUAUGCUCUGACUUGCCAUCAAAUAACUUUUCAUCUGACCUAAACUUAUGAUUGGAUGAUAAGAACCUACGAUGUCCCAUAUAGCAAUAUUUGCUGCCCUUUUUUAAUUGUAGAGAACAAGUGAAUGAAUGGCACUCAGGACAAGCUACCUCACCCUGGGUAGCACACCCAUGAGUGUAGCCUAAACCUGGAAAGUCAUGUAUGGUGCAAAGGAUGGCAGCACGAAGAUCAAAUAUUUCAGACUUAGAAGCAUCAAAUGUCUUUACACCAUGAUAGUACAUAUCUACUAGAUCAUCUACCAAAGGUUCAAGAUAGACAUCCAUAUCGCCACCAGGUGCCUUAGGGCCAGGAAUGAGCAAAGAAAGGAUAAAAUUAGUCCGCUUCAUGCACAUCCAAGGAGGAAGGUUGUAUGGAAUCAAAAAGACUGGCCAAAUACUAUAGGUACUCCUUGUUGACCUAAAUGGAUUAAAGCCAUCAGUUGUUGCAGCCAAUCUAAAAUUUCGACUAUCAUCACCAAUUAGUGGAUGUUUGGAAUCAAAAUCCUUCCAGAAAAUAGCAUCCGCUGGGCACCUAAUCAAACCAUCUUUGGUCCGUUGUUCGUCAUGCCACCUCAUGUCAGUUGCAGUUUUAGAGGACAUAAAGUACCUUUGAAGCCUUCUUUUAAUAGGAAAAUAGCGAAGAACCUUUCUAGGAACUCUAUGUACCCUUUUCCCAUCAGGACUCUUCUUUUCUGAUUUCCACCUUGAAGUUUUACACUUUGGACAUUGAUUCUCCUUAUCAAAUUCAUUUCUGAACAGUACACAAUCAUUUUCACAGGCAUGAAUACUAACAUACCCAAGCCCAAUAGAUUUAACUAUUUUCUUAGCUUCAUUGAAAUUUUUGGGAAGUACUGAACCUUUGGGGAAUGCAUCACUAAGUAACUCAAGCACCAUGUCAAAACUUUUGUCACUCCAUCGCCCAAGAAGUUUGAUGUGGAGCAAUUUGACAAUAAAACACAAUUUUGAGAAGUUUUUACACCCGGGGUAUAGUUCUUUGUUGUCAUCAUCAACCAUCUUCAAAUAAGCCUUGGUAUCAUCAUCAACAUCCGUCCUAGGGUUGUUAUUGUCCUCAUUGUUCUCUUCCAACACCCCCCCAUCAUCUAAUCCACAAGCUAUGUCUCGCAAGAAAUUAGCUAAUUCAUUUUUUGCCGGUGAACUCUCUACUUCUACCUCCUCAAUAUUAGGGCUAGCGUGGCUAGAUUCUCCAUGAAACAACCAUGUAUGAUACCCCUCCAUGAAACCAUCACAUAUCAAAUCGUCACGUGCUUCUGUUGCUGUUCUCCAUUUAGAGUUCAAACAUAUCUUGCAAGGACAUAAGAUUUUGUUUCCAUUUGUUGAAUUAAUAAAAGCAAACUUUAUAAACUUGUCUAACCCCUGCAGAUACUCAUUUGUGUGCCUACAUGUAAUUGUUAUUUUUAGAUAUCAGAACAGUUCAUUGCAAAAUUAUACCGUUUAUGAGUUUGCAAAAAAGAAACUAGAUGUACCUAGGCUUAGACAACCAGGUUUUGUCCAUGAUGCAACCUUAACAUCAAAGUUGCCAAGUAUCUGAAUAUGGCCAGUGCGGUAGUGUUAGCUUUGCAUCGGUGAAGCGACAAUCAUUAUUCAAGCAAUAGAAGUACAAAACAAUAACCAUUCAAGCAACAAAUACACAUUCUUGUCCAGUUGUCUACUGUCACAAACAACUGCAUAUGAUUCAGAUACAGAGAAGGUAAUCUAGGGAGGAGUUGAUGCUUACUCGGGGCACAGAGACGGAGCUGCCGGAGUGGAGCAGAGAUGGAGCUUGGCCGGAGAUGGAGCCUGACAGCAGCAGAGCAGAGAUCCGGCAGCCGCACUGCAGAGGUCCGGCAGUAGCAGGCCCGGAGAUGGAGCUCCAGCAGCAGCAGAGCAGACGUCCGGCAGCAACAGGCCCGGAGAUGGAGCUCCGGCAGCAGCAGAGCAGGGGUCCGGCAGCAGCAGAGCAGAGGUCUCGCGGCAGCAGGAGCCCAGAGAUAGAGCUCCGGUGGCGGCAGGAGCCCGGCAAUGGAACCCCGCCGGCAGCAGGGAGCCCAGCUAUGGAACCCCGGCGGCAGCAGGGGAGACGGAUCCCCGGCGACAGCAGGGAGCCCGGAGAUGGGUCCCCGACGGNNNNNNNNNNNNNNNNNNNNNNNNNNNNNNNNNNNNNNNNNNNNNNNNNNNNNNNNNNNNNNNNNNNNNNNNNNNNNNNNNNNNNNNNNNNNNNNNNNNNNNNNNNNNNNNNNNNNNNNNNNNNNNNNNNNNNNNNNNNNNNNNNNNNNNNNNNNNNNNNNNNNNNNNNNNNNNNNNNNNNNNNNNNNNNNNNNNNNNNNNNNNNNNNNNNNNNNNNNNNNNNNNNNNNNNNNNNNNNNNNNNNNNNNNNNNNNNNNNNNNNNNNNNNNNNNNNNNNNNNNNNNNNNNNNNNNNNNNNNNNNNNNNNNNNNNNNNNNNNNNNNNNNNNNNNNNNNNNNNNNNNNNNNNNNNNNNNNNNNNNNNNNNNNNNNNNNNNNNNNNNNNNNNNNNNNNNNNNNNNNNNNNNNNNNNNNNNNNNNNNNNNNNNNNNNNNNNNNNNNNNNNNNNNNNNNNNNNNNNNNNNNNNNNNNNNNNNNNNNNNNNNNNNNNNNNNNNNNNNNNNNNNNNNNNNNNNNNNNNNNNNNNNNNNNNNNNNNNNNNNNNNNNNNNNNNNNNNNNNNNNNNNNNNNNNNNNNNNNNNNNNNNNNNNNNNNNNNNNNNNNNNNNNNNNNNNNNNNNNNNNNNNNNNNNNNNNNNNNNNNNNNNNNNNNNNNNNNNNNNNNNNNNNNNNNNNNNNNNNNNNNNNNNNNNNNNNNNNNNNNNNNNNNNNNNNCCCGAUGUAUUUUUUAGAUAUAUGUAUUUUUUAUGUAUGUUCAUAUAUGUAUGUAUGUAUUUUUUACAUGUUUUUUGUAUGUAUGUAUGUAUUUUUUCAAUUGUAAUGAUGUUUUAAAAAUACAUAUAUGCAAAAGUUAGAUUUUUAGAAAAGUUUGUAAAAAAUACAUCAAAGUUAGGAAAAUUUAGAAUGUGCUAAAUAUGUCAAAAAUGUCAAAAAUGAUGGUUAGAUUUUUGUGGUUGUAAAAGAGUUAAUGAUGUUAAUUUUUGUGGUUGUAAAAGAGUUAGGAAAAUUUAGAAUGUGCUAAAUAUGUCAAAAAUGUUUUUUUGUUCAUAGAAAGUUUUUUGUUCAUAUACAGAAAGUUUUUAUAUAUGACUAUGGAUAUAUGAGCAAUGAUGAUCCAUGGAUGUAUGCAUUGAUAUAUAUAUGAGAAACGAUGUUCAUAGAAUAUUUACCAAUUAUAUAUGUAUUUUUGUUCAUAGCAUUUCUUUCCAUUUAUAUAUGUAUGUGGCUAUAGAUGGAUAUAUAUGAGAAAUGAUGAUCCAUGGAAAAGUUUUAUAUAUGCAAAAGUUACAUUUUUAGAAAAGUUUUAUAUAUGUAGCUAGGAAAGGAAGAAGAAGAAAAAGAAGGAGAGGAAAAACGAAAAUAAGAAGAGGAAGAAAGGAGAAGAAGAGGAGAGGAAGAAGAGGAGAAAUAAAAAAGAAGAGGAAAAAAGAAGAAAAAGAAGAGGAGAAGAAGAAAAAAAAUAGAAAUAUCUAUUUUUUCUUCUUCUCCUCUAUUCCUUUCUUCUUCUCCUCUUUUUUUUCUUCUUUUUUUCUUCGAUCUUCUUCUCUAUUCCUUUCUUCUUCUCCUCUUUUUAUUUCUUCUUUUUUUCUUCAAUCUUCUCCUCUAUUAAUAUCUUCUUCUCCUCUCUUUAUUUCUUCUUCGUCUUCUUAUUUUUUAUCGGACAUGUCAUUGUCGAUAUACCCCGUGUCCCGAUAACUUCAACACGAGAGGUGGGGGGGGGGGUUCGACCUACCCCCUCCCCGAUAACAUUAUUUUCCCAUGUAUGUAUGUCGUUGUUGUCGAUAUAACCCCCUCCCGGAUAACUUCGACCGUGAUAACUUAUACCACGGGAGCACCCCCCCGCCCUCUCGCUCGACCAAAACUCUCGAGCACACCCAAACCCUAGAAAAAACGAUGUCGGUCUCCUACCCCCUCCCGCCGCGCCCCUACCCUUGAAGCGUUGCCGAGGCCACCCCAAACCCAGAAUAAGCUAGGUCUACGGUUGCACUAAUAUAUCCACCUGCUGUCAUGUUUGUGUAAUAAUUGCCAUGUUGUAAUAUUUGCAGAAACAAUGGAGCACGGACGAGACGAGGAAGCAGAAGAGGUGUUGGGGGACAUAAUCUUAGCCGGAGGUGAUAUCUUGUCGUAUCUUAAUGACAAUGAUGGUCUGGAAGAACAGGGUGAAGAAGCAGGCUACGGUGAUCGAAGAGUGGAGGAGGAAAGACAUGAUUAUGAUGGCUCCGGUGACCCAAAGCUGGUGCAAGAAGGAGCCCGUGGUGACGGCUCCGGUGACCCAAUGCUGGUGCAAGGAGGAGCCCGUGGUGACGGCUCUGGUGACCGAACAGAGUCCGGCCAGGUAAAUAUAUUAGUUAAGCCUGUGCUGACUAGCUAAUUGAUGCAUUCAUUGUUUUGGUAUGUACACAUAUUUAUUAGCCCUCCGGAUCGAGCACAACUUCGGUAAAGAGACGAGGCCCGAAGAGAAAGUUGCGCUCCGAUGAAAGGUUUGAGAUCACAGCAAUCGCGCGCGACGGCCAACCGAUUGAACCCAUCCGGACAAAGGAAGCAUUUGCUGCUCAGUGCGGGGUCUUGUUAGGGACAAGAUCCCGAUCAGCAUCCACCAAUGGUAUAAGCCUAAGAAGGAAGACCCUGAGGUGUCUUAUGUCAAUGAUAUGCAGAAAGAUGAUCUUUGGACUGAGCUGAAGGCAAAUUUGACCCUACCGCCAGAGGAGGAUCCGGAGAAGCCAGUUAAAGAGCAAUUAAUCAAGUCUCAUGCUCUUAAGAAGAUGGCAGACCUAUUCAGGAGGUGGAAGAAUGAGCUGAAAACGUUUGUCGACAAAGAAGAGACACCAGAACUCAUCAGCCGGUAUGAGAAGAUCAGAGAUCACUGGCCCGCAUUUGUGGCCCACAAGACAUCGGAAAAGAGUAAGAAGAUGUCAGCGACAAACAAGAAGAAUGCUGCGAAGAAGAAGCUUCACCAUCGCACGGGGUCAGGUGGCUACCUCAAAGCCCGACCUAAGUGGGCCAAGGCUGAGAAUGAUCUGCUUGAUAAAGGGAUCGAACCAGAGACAAUGAACUGGCCAGACCGUUGCCGGACUUGGUUCUUCGGGGCUGGCGGAAAAUUGGACCCUGUAUCAGGGAGGUGCGUUUGGAUGGACGAGCUUUUGAGAAUACCAGUCAAGAGGCUUCAGCACUAUAUCGAUGCAGCGCAGGAAGGGACGUUCGUUCCAGACAGAGAGAACGAUGAGCUCACAAUGGCCCUCGGGAAUCCUGAGCACCCUGGACGGACACGAGGCACGCCAGGCUCCGUUCCGUGGAAGGCUGGUUUUCCGGACGCAGGCGUUUACAAAAGCCAGGAGAGGAGGAAAAAAGUGGAGCAGACCCAAAUUCAGAAGCUGCACGAAAGGGUUCAAGCGCUAGAGGAACGAGACGCCAAUCGACAUGCCCAAACUACCCCCGAAGCUACCCCGCCAUCUUAGCGGAGAAGCAGCGUGGCUUCCACUGAGCUGCUUCAGCCGGAGCAUGUCUUGACGGCUCCUGCUAGCUACCCCGUGGAUGCUAUCACGGAGUCUCAACAUUGCCAUCUUAUGACGCAAUGGCAGAACUUCAAAGUCAAGGCGGCUGUUGGCUCUAUUUUACCUCCUGAACCCGG